rnacentral:lncRNA from 1 species
UUUUUUUUCUAUUUGUUUUUUGUGUCAUUUUUCCUUGAUUUUCUAAUUACAUUUUACAUUUACUUUCAAAAAUAUAUUUUUGUACAUGUUAAACAUUUAAAAACACAUAAUUAACUUUUUUCAAUAAAUAUUAUUGAUUUCUACAUUUUUUGUAUACAUGUUUAACAUUUUUGUGCAUGGAUGGUUAACAUUUUUUUGCAUACAUGUGUUUGAUGGCUAUUUUUUUCAUAGGCACUAUACAUUGUUUUAUACAUUAGGUACAUUUUUAAUAAAUGUUUAAUAUUUUUCAAAUAGUUAUUUUUUUUGAAAAUUUGUGUUUCAUGAAUAAUUUUUUACAUACACAUUGUGCAUUUAUUUCUAUAUAAGGAACAUAUUUUGUACAAGUUUAACAUUUUUUUACAUGAUCAACAUUUUUAUAAAAUUCGUUUUUUGAUGUUUAAUUUUUUAAAUACACAUUCUACAUUUUUCGUACGUGUUUCACAUUUUUAAAUAGAUGAUUAAUAUUUUUCAAAUAUUUUGUUUUUGCUUAUUACUUUUUUCAUACAAAUUAUACAUGUUUUUAUAUACCAAUAACGCCUUUAAUAAAUCUUUAAAAUAUAUGAUUAACAUUUUUUUGAUACAUGAUCAUUUUUUUUUUGCAAAACUAGCAAGAUAAUGAAAGAUUUAUCUUGAUAUAUACUUAACAGAAAAACCAAAAAAUAUAGGCACCUGUGCCAGCAUGAUUUGAUCCUGAGCCGUCGCAGUCAUAACCGACAGCUCCAUCCACUGCAACAUAUGUGUGUUUGUUGAAAAAAAACGAGCAGUGCAGCUUUUAUAAACUCUUUGCGGCCCGCCUGUUCCAUGAACACAAUGUUGCGAGGGCGAGCCUUCGUUCCACCUCGCAUUAGGCGAUAUAUAAUCACACCCCAAAUCUCCAUGGCACUAGAUACUAAAGUUAUUUCAAAGUUGUGCGUGAGGGAGCGCCUUAUUCUUCGGCCAGCCUAUGGCCGUAAGCAAACGCAGUAUCAUUUUAUUGUAUUUUGCAACCUUGGAUGUCAAUAUGAGACAUGAAUAUGGUCGUUUUCUUACCCUCUCCUUUUCCGCGUCCGCUAUAAUUUAGUGCUCGUUUCCAUUAAGUAUUGUGAAUAUAUUACCGCUGCAUGAUCUAACUGAUUGAUUAGAUCAGCGGGGAGACAGUAUUCUAGCACAACCAGGUAGAGAGGUGCUCAUUAAAUCGGUGGCGCAAGCUCUACCAACGUGGAUCAUGGGGAUUUUCAAGCUCGCAUUUUCGGUGUGUGAUGACCUUGCUAGGAUAGUGAGGAAUUUUUAUUGGGGGUUCGCACAAGGUAAAAGGAAAGUACACUGGAAGAGUUGGGACAAACUUAUGCAGCCUAAAGAUAGGGGAGGAGUGGGCUUUCAUGACUUCCGGCUUUUCAAUCAAGCUUCAUUGGCAAGGGAAGCAUGGAGGCUAAUUGUUAAACUUGAGAGUUUAUGUUAAACCUGUAGGCUUAUCAUCCAAAUGGUACGCUGGAGGAUACAAUUUUUGGUGGAAAUGCACCAUCAUCAUGGCAGGCCAUAAGUUAUGGUUUGGACCUGUUGAAGAAAGGAUUAGUAUGGAGAGUGAGAAACGGUAAAAACAUUAGAGUUUGGAGGGACAAUUGGUUACCCAGAUGACCAGACCACAUUCAUACAAGCCUCUCACUGCAAGGAAAUUGUCGUAUUCAUUUCGUAGAAGCUUUGUGAACUCAAAUGGAUCAUGGAAUUAUGACCUACUGCACAAAUUAUUCGUCCCUGCAGAUAUCACCGAAAUUCUGAAGAUCUACACACCCCCGCGUCUGAAGGAGGAUUGCUGGCAUGGGGACUGGGUAGACAUGGUAAAUUCUCUGUCAAGAGUGCAUAUGAUAUGGCCUUUGAUGAAGCCCAUCAGGACAUCACUUCGUCUUCAAGCUCGUGGUUGUCCGGUGCACGUUCAUGCUGGAAAUCCACAUGGGCAUGCGGGGUAGCCCCCGCGGUAAAGAAUUUUUCAUGGCGCCUUGUGAGGGAUUUGUUACCAACCUGGCAAAGGAAAAACAUAAUUGGCCUCGAGGUGAAAAGUUUAUGGCGGGUUUGUGCUCUGGAAGUUGUGUUGGGGAACACGGUAAUUUCAAAAAGAAUCCUACGAUCACGCAAGAUCUAUCUAGGUGAUGCAUAGCAACGAGAGGGGAGAGUGUGUCCACGUAUCCUCGUAGACCGAAAGAGGAAGCGCUUCAAUAACGCAGUUGAUGUAGUCGAACUUCUUCUAGAUCCAACCGAUCCAAGUACCGAACGUACGGCACCUCCGCGUUCAGCACACGUUCAACUCGAUGACGUCCCUCGUGCUCCUGAUCCAGUUGAGGAUGAGGGUGAGUUCUGUCAGCAUGACGGCGUGGCAACGGUGAUGAUGAUGUUACCGGCGCAGGGCUUCGCCUAAGCUCUACGUUGGUAUGAUCGAGGUGUGUAACUAUGGAGGGGGCACUGCAGACGGUUAAGAGAAACUUGUGUGUUCUAGGGUGCCCCCCUGCCCCCGUAUAUAAAGGAGGGAGGGGGAGAACGGCCGGCCCUAGGGGGCGCACCCAAGAGGAGGAGUCCUACUAGGACUACCUAGUCCUAGUAGGAUUCCCCUUCAAGGAAGAGAGGGGGAAGGAAGGAGAGGGAGAGGGAGUCGGAAAGGGGGGCAUCACCCCCUUCCCCUAGUCCAAUUCGGACCCAAGGGGGGGCGGCCAGCCUUCCUGCGGCCCUCCUCUCUCUCCACUAAGGCCCAUGGUGGCCCAUUAGUUCCCCCGGGAGGUUCCGGUAACCCCUCCGGCACUCCGGUUUUACCCGAAAUUUCCCGGAACACUUCCGGUGUCCGAAUAACAUGGUCCAAUAUAUCAAUCUUUAUGUCUUGGGCAUUUCGAGACUCCUCGUCACAUCUGUGAUCUCAUCCGGGACUUCGAACAAACUUCGGUCGUCAAAAACACAUAACUCAUAAUACAUAUCGUCAUCGAACGUUAAGCAUGCGGACCCUACGGGUUCGAGAACUAUGUAGACAUGACCGAGACACAUGUCCGAUCAACAAACAAUAACGGAACCUGGAAGCUCAUAUUGGCUCCUACAUAUUCUACGAAGAUCUUUAUCGGUCAAACCGCAUAACAACAUGCGUUGUUCCCUUUGUCAUCAGUAUGUUACUUGCCCGAGAUUCGAUAGUCGGUAUCAUCAUACCUAGUUCAAUCUCCUUACCGGCAAGUCUCUUUACUCGUUCCGUAAUACUUCAUCCCGCAUCUAACUCAUUAGUCACAAUGCUUGCAAGGCUUAUAGUGAUGAGCAUUAUCGAGAGGGCCCAGAGAUACCUCUCCGAAACACGGAGUGACAAAUCCUAAUCUCGAUCUAUGCCAACCCAACAAACACCUUCGGAGACACCUGUAGAGCAUCUUUAUAAUCACCCAUUUACGUUGUGACGUUUGAUAGCACACAAGGUGUUCCUCCGGUAUUCGGGAGUUGCAUAAUCUCAUAGCCUGAGAAACGUGUAUAAGUCAUGAAGAAAGCAGUAGCAAUGAAACUGUAACAAUCAUAAUGCUAAGCUAACAGAUGGGUCAUGUCCAUCACAUCAUUCUCCUAAUGAUGUGAUCCCGUUCAUCAAAUGACAACACAUGUCUAUGGUUAGGAAACUUUGGCAUCUUUGAUUAACGAGCUAGUCAAGUAGAGGCAUACUAGGGACACUAUGUUUUGUGUAUGUAUUCACAGAUGCACUAAGUUUCCGGUUAAUGCAAUUCUAGCAUGAAUAAUAAACAUUUAUCAUGAAAUAAGGAAAUGAAUAAUAACUUUAUUAUUGCCUCUAGGGCAUAUUUCCUUCAAGUUGAAGACAAUUACCAUCCUUUCGUGAUGUGCCCACUUGCUCGCGAUUUAUAUAGGGCACUGUCGAGGGUGUCGAGCCUCGCGAAUCAGAAUGAGAUUCUAAAUAAUGGACGAGAGUGGCUGUCCCAGGUUCUUGAACCACCAGAUGAUGUUCGAAGCUGCAUGCUGCUGAUGACAUUCUGAAGAGUUUGGUACGUUCGAAAUGAGCUAGUCCAUAACAAGCCGGUUCCUCCUGUAGAGGUGUCAUGUCAAUUUCUUCAGAGCUAUCUUGAUUCAUUGAUGGGUAUUAAACUGCACACCGAUGUUGAUCCAUACAGAGGGAAACCUUUCAUCACUUAUGCAAAGCCAAGUAUGCCCAAUAAUGUGUCGAGGGAGGAAGCUAGGACCGGUUGGAGUCCACCAGUGCAUGGCUGGGUUAAGUUAAAUUCGGAUGGUUCUUUUGUUGCAGUAGGGGAUGUUGGAGCAGGGAUGAAGAAGGCUCUUAUCAUUUCCGUGGCAUGUAGGAAGUCGCACUUGUGCCAGGACACCCUUGAGGCAGAGUUAUGUGUGUGCAUGGAAGGACUCUCUGUAGCUAUACAGAGAAGUGAGCUGCCGAUCAUCAUCGAGAUGGAUUCUUUGGUUGCAGUUUCAAUGGUCCAGAGCAAAGAAGUGGACAGAUAAGUUUAUGCAUCGCUAGUAAAGGAAAUAAAGUUCCUUCAAGGACUUAGAUUAUCUUGUACUCCCUCCGUUCCUAAAUAUUUGUCUUUAUAGACAUUUCAAAUGACUACUACAUACGGAUGUAUGUAGACAUAUUUUAGAGUGUAGAUUCACUCAUUUUACUUCGUAUGUAGUCAUUUGUUGAAAUGCCUAGAAAGACAAGUAUUUAGAAACGGAGGGAGUAUUACUCAUGUACCUCGUACCCAGAAUCUAGCUAGUGAUUGUUUGGCUAGUUUUGCUAGACUAGAGAAUAGGACCAUGACAUGGCUAGGGUCAGGUCCUCCAGAAGUUUUGGAGAUUGCAAACAAUGAUUGUAUGAACAUUAUUAUUGAGUAAUACAAGUUUGAUUCCCGCAUUUUUUGAAGUAUUGUGAACAUAUUACCUCUGCAUGAUCUAACUGAUUGAUUUGAAGUCCGGGAUUCAGAAAUCCUAUAUAUGCAUACUGGUUUUACAAAAAACAUUACGUAUUGCGUGCGAUGGGAUAACCACAUAGAGCAAAAUGUGGAAAUAACCAUCGAACCGACGCGUAAGUUUUUUGUAAACCUAUUGUGUAAGAAUAUCAUCACACUCUAGUAUUUCAGCCAUUCAAGGAAAAUAAAGAUGAAAAUAAAAUCCUAAAACCUAGCGGAAGCGAAUCAAAUGAAUUAUGUUGAGGAUCGCUAUCAAAUCAUCAAUGCAGCUAGUAGGGACCAUUUCGGUGUCCAAAGAGAAAUGGGCUCGGUAGAAGAAAAUGAUCGACACACAUGGAGUUUCUAGCUCGUUCACAUGCAUUGGGAUUAGCAGUAAAAUCCAAAAAAUAGUAAAAUUAUGUAAAAUAAUAAUCUGAUUUUUAAUCGACAAACAUUGAUGAUUGUUACACCUGCGUGCAAAAUUGUGAUGGAAUGGUAUUGAUUGAUGUCCGGGAAAGAAAAAAACAAAAUCAAUGCUCUAGAAAGGCUCCUUUUGAAAACAUUUCGGAGUACCGACUUUUCCCCACAGAUGCACAAAUGUCAUGAAAAUUUUCAUGAAGAUAGAGAACUAAGCAAAGUUUCUUGCAAAAAAAAACCCAGAAUUCUUUAAAAGUGCAUUAUUUUAUUUUUUAUAAUUUUUACUGUUCAUACAAUGUGCAUAUGAGCUCAGGAUUAGGAAAACUUUUGAUAUCGGUUCUUUUUUUUUUGUCGAAAAAACUUAUGAUCUGUUCAUCAAUUAUCAAAGUGCACGUAGAAGUGCUCAGGGGAUGCACCACAACUUCGUGGAAGAUCCCGCAUGUACAAGAAAGAGGAUGCCAAUACAGAGCACAAAUUGAACUCUACUAUCCUAUUAAUACCAUCUCCACUUUGUAUAUACACACACGGAACAGCGACAAAUAGUGGGCAGAAGAUGCACAAGGCAGUACAUGUACAUGCCGUCGACGAGCGGUAAAGCUUGACCGUGACCGAAGCUAAGCAGACCACCAACGUCAAAAAAAUUAUCUCUCCCUCACACAGACAAGACGCGGUCACGGCCAGAUACUUUCUACUGUACUCCAAGCGAAACGAUCCUAUCUGCGGGCCCACCACGGAGGGGCGCGCGCCCGGCCCCCACCCGUCCACGUCGGUCACGCGGCGAUGACCACCGUGACGGCCGCGGCGUCGGCGCUCCCGGGCCGCCCGCUGCUGCGCCCGGCGGCGGCCUUGGGCGCGGCGGCCGCGCCGCUGAGCACCGAGUCCCGGCACGUGGGGCAGGAGUCGUGCGAGACGAGCCAGGUGUCGACGCAGCGGACGUGGAACUCGUGGCCGCAGCGCGGCAGCACGCGCACCUUCUCGCCGUCCUCGAACUCGCCGAGGCAGAUGGCGCAGACGUCGUCCGCCGGCGCGGCGCCCCCGCCCGCGGCCGCGCACGCACCGUACACCUCGAUGGGGAGGCUCCUGAGCGUGCGCUUCUUGAGCCCGCCCUGCCCGCCCGCCGACGCCGCGCCGUCCAGCUCCCCGCCGCCGCCGCCCGACGCCUCCAGCGACGCGCGCCGCGCCCACCGGAUGACGUACCGCGCGAGGGAGUUGAGCCCGAGCGCGAAGAGCAGGGCGAAGAGCAGCGCGGCGAGGAUGAUCACCAUGUUGGUGUCGAAGCUGGCGUCGCCGCCGCCGCCGCUGCUGAGCGCGCGCUGCGCCCCGUUCUCCGCGCUCGACGGCGCCUGCGAGCCCGUCUGCCCCAUGUACCAGCUCAUGGACCGGGUGUGCGCGCCCAUCGCCUCCUUGCCGCGGCAAUUAUGCACCGGAAGUAUGGGUCACUCGCUUGUAGAAGGACGUGGACGUAGGAGCGGCUGCUAUAAUGUGGCCGCGGGCCUGCGCGCGCUGCACUUUAUAUACCAACUCGCACCCGUUUCGGUUCGGAAAAGUUGAGGCUCAUAUGAGUGUGAGUGCGAGCUAGAGCGAAGGAAGGACCCCUUUCUUGUCUGGAUUUCGAUCGGAUAGAUAUCACUGGGAGGAGAUGGAAAAUCAAGCCGUGGUGAUGAGCCGGGAAAUGGCCAGGGGACUUUAUAUAAAGAUCUGGACGAGGAGGAGGAGCGGCUGCCCGAUCGCCGGCUGUUGGACCGGGAGGCAGGGAGGUGGUUCGGUUCCGGGCCACACUGUGUCUGUGCGGUGGGUCCUCCAAAAUGAUCGCGCACGCCUUGGCCGGAGAAAUAUCUAGCCAGCUUUGCCGGUGCCACGCACUUGUUGGUUGUAUGGUUGUGCCGGGUUGGUGCAAAACUACAAAUGGGAUAGCCACGCGCGUGCGCGCUGAUGCAAACCUGCCUUCUUUUGUGUUGGACGAUAGAAUAGAGUAGCCAGCAGCUGGAAGGAGGGGCUCCAUGGAUUUUGUUGGAUCUCACACACGGCUAAAGGGGAAGCAGGGCACGUUGCCGUAGCACGGAGGCGCGUAGGGUUGCUUUGCAGGUUCCAGUGUAAAUGAACAGAUUUCACUCUUUUCAAAAAUUCAGCACAAAAUAAAAGCCGAUCUGAAACAAUUUAAAAACUGACCCUUUUGCACAACGGUCUGGGCUAGGGCGUCAUACUGAGAUAGCAUGGCCUCCUCUUGAUGCUGUGAUAGCUAUGUGAUGUGUAUUGAGGGUGUCAUGUUGUCUAGCAUGACUCUCCAAACCAAGGCGUCGUGGUAUCUACAGUGGCGCCCUAACGUCUGGCAUCAUAAAAAAGAGUCAUUUUGUGAUAUAUUUUUAGAUCCGGUUUAUAUUGUGCUGAAAUUUCUAAAAAGGGUCAAAUAUGUCCACUUUCACCAGGUUCUACGUGGAGUUUCUUUUGAUUUAUUAGGCUGAUGCUAACCAGUAUCACAUUUACCUAGUUCACUUUCUCUUCUACUCCCUUCGUUCUGAAUUACUUGUCGCACGUAUGGAUGUAUUUAGAUGUAUUUUAGUUCUAGAUACAUCCAUUUCAGCGACGAGUAAUUUGGAACGGAGGGAGUACUACAUACCACUUUUUGUUAGAUAGAGAAAAAAUCGGAAUAGCUUGAUAAUUCAAAAUGGUGUGUGGGCUCAUCUGCACCCGGUGAACAGUAAAAAGAAAUAGGAGAAAAAUUUAGAAAAAAAAUCCAAUUUUUUUGUCAUCCAAGAUGCUCAAAUGAUUGAUGUCCGUGUAGAAUUUUGGGGUGUCUAGACAUUCGAGGAGCUCAUGGUAAAAAAGACAAAUCGGCUCUGAACUGUGCUUUUUAAAAUGCUUCUUAAACACCCAGAAUUUAUAUUUUGCUGUGAGCUCCUCGAACGUCCAAAAUUCAUAAAAUUUUGCACGGACAUCAUGCACAGUAGCAUCUUGCAUGCAUGCAAAAUAAAUAUAUUUUUUAUUUUAUGUUUUCAAAAUUCAUGAUUUUAGUGUUCAUCGUCGGGCUCAUCUGAGCCCUGGUGCAGAUUAGCUAUGUCCGGACUAGCUCUGCUACCUUGUGGAAAUUCAGAGACAUGUUUGAUUCAAGUGUCUCACCCAUUUUGAGGUUGUCUUGAUCUAUUAACAAAGACAUGUAACAAACCCAUUGGAGGCAAUUACAACAAAAUUAGUUUUACAACUUGAUGUAUGAGGAUACUAACAAUCUAUCUAACUAGUUUGGUUCAUAUCUCCGUGGAACGCACCCACAUGGAUAUGAUUGGACUUGAAGAACUAUAAUGUUCUAGUGUUUUCUUAUGUGUAGAUGCUCCAAAUUUCACCGAGGGUGUCUUGGAAUCUCAGGGUGAAUCCUUUGCUCUCGUCUGGCCGGACUUGACGAUGCCAAUGACCGUGAGGACUGCCAACUUCCUUGGAGGCAUCAUUGUUCAAUGGCCUUUCCUCCUUUUUUUGUGUUCCUCGGAAACCAUAGUUCCAGGUAUUCUUGGAAUGGGUGAUGACGACACAACUUGUAACAUGACCCUUCCUUUUCUUUUCGCGAAUAAGCGAAGUGCAUAUCAUUGCAUUGAUAAAAGGGAAUCAUAGAACAAAGUUUUGAUUGCCAAGCCACAUACACUCGAAGGUGUGGAAGCGAACCUAUGGAGCAUAGGGAGGGGAAUGCUCAGCCCUAAGACUAGAAAUUCAGCUUACUUACGUCAAAUAUCAUACGUAGCCCUUUGGCACCUGCAUGGGUAGAAGACCAUGCCCACGCUUCGUCUUGGAUGGAGGACACGAGGUCGGGGAGGGAGGGCCGCUUGUCAUCGAAGAUGCAGGCGUUGUGAUGCUUCCAUAUCAUCCAAGUACAGAGAGGGACGAUGGAUGCGAAGCCCUUGUGUAGGAUGGGAGGGCAAGACAUCGUUGCUCCCACCCACUAAUCAUAGAGAGAUAGAGUCCCAUCAGGUGGCAAGGUGGUGAAGCAGCACGAAGCCAAAAUUUGGUGCUAGACAUGUCGGGAGAAUACUCUACCAACUAGGAGAUGGUGGAAACACUGCCCUUCUUGAAGGCACCUUCUUGGUUUAUGAGAUAUGUUGUUGCUUGCUAUGGGGAUAUUGGGGUCGUAGCCCUAGAUUAGUGGGCGUGGUUUCUUGUUUAGCAACGAUGCCGACGUUGAGUGGACUUGGGUCACGAUUGGGUUUUAGUCAUUUUUUCGUACUUCCGAUGGGUUCUCAUGCCUUAUCGCUCAUUUGUGGUUAGAGCUACAGAGGGGUUGGCGCAAGCUAAACAUUUUUUUCUCCUACAAUGUUCGUCUCAUGAGUCCAACCUGUUUGUUCAUCGAUAUGGCUGAUUCGUUGUUAGGCAUGGGCCGACAUGGUUCCUGACUUCUGUUGCAACGGGGGAUUUGACAAUGGUUGUUCAUGAUGAAGUUAAAUCCUUUGGUUCGAGCAGGAGUGAUGACGAUGGCGCUGGUUGACAAUAUUGAUGGUGAUUUUUUCAUCUAUAAGACGUGUGUGGACUUCAUGUAGGUAGUCAGGUCACUGGAUGCUGUCCUAUACAACCAUGUUCGCUAACUAAAAGAGUAACUAUGUUCUUCAUUAGACAACACAAGACUUUUUGCCCUGUUUCUGUUUUACUAGAACAAAAAGAGAGCAAAGUUCACCAGAAGAUAUAGGCUAGUCAUAGUGGGAAAUGUAAUUUAGACUAGUAACAAGCAUUAUUAUUAGCCUAUGUUACUACCUUCAUGUGGUAGUAACAUAUGUAUGAUAUCAUGCAAGCCUUUAUUUAUUUAGAUAUAGACUUAUUUUGCAUUGGGUUGUGUUAUGUUACGGUAACAUAUUAUAUUACCGCAAACACACCUCUCUUCAUUAACUCUCUGUCACAUAAUCAAACUUGUCUUAGUGUGUGAUAUGUUACUAUUAGUACUUCCUUCGUUUUUAUUUACUCUUCAUAUUAGGUUUGACUGAAGUCAAACUUUGUAAAGUUUAACCAAGUUUAUAGAAAAAAUAUAAACAUUUGUCGUAAAAAAUUUAUAUGAUAUGAAAGUAUAUUCAAUAAUGAAUCUAGUGAUAUUAAUUUGUUAUCGUAUAUGUUAAUAUUUUUGUUUAUAAACUUUGUCAAAGUUUACAAAGCUUGACUUUGAGCGAAGCUAAUACACGGACUAAAUAAAAACAAAGGGAGUACUAGAAAAAGUUACUCCCACUAUGACCAGCCUAACUUAUGAGCAUGGAUUUCUCAUAGGCGACUAUUGGAUUAGAUCCACUAACCAAUCAACUCGUGCCUGGUCACUAAGAGCAACUCCAACGGGCCGACCCAAACAGACGGCGCAUUUGUCCGCUUUAUGUUCGUUUGGGUCGGCCGCCCGCCCGGCGUCCGCCCUAUUUUGCAUUUGGGUCGGCAGUGCGCCCAACGCGCCGACCCAUUUUCAUGUUUGCACUCAAAUUUUUAAAAAGGCCCGCGGCCAUAGAUCAUGCCAGCGGCCAUGUCUCAUAUCGGCACCAUGCCAGCGCCGACAUAACUUGCCGGCUUCAAAAAAUGCACCACACAGUUCAUGCUGGCGCACUCGCCAGCGGCCGACACACAUGCCAGCACACAAAAAGGGAUGGGACUUGAGUUCGACCAUGCCAUCACGGCCCCGUGGUCAUGCCAGCGCACAAGACGGCAUACAAAAAAGAAGGCGCUCGUGGCCACGAGAUCACUCGUCGGUGAACUUGAGCAUGUUGGCCUGCAUUUUCUCGAACCAUGGCCUCUUCCUUGGCGACACGGUAUUGAGAUCCACCUUCAUGAUCUCCACCCCGGUCAUCAUGCUUGCGAGAGCCACUUCUUUGGCCUUGAUCUUGGCAUUGGCGGCCUCGAUCUCAGGCAUCUUCGCUUGCUUCUCCGCCUCCAACUCAAGCAUCUUGGCUUGCUUCUCCGUGUCCAUCUCUAGCCUCCUCCUUUGGAUCUCCAUGAGGCGUUCAUUUGCUUCUCUUUGAAACACCGGUGCUCCUCCUCUCUUGAGUCCUUCUUGUUCAUCAUGCCCUCCACGCUUGUGAUUGAGGCGUUCGAUGCCGCAUCGCGCUUGUCCUCCUUCUUGGAGUUGGUCUUCCUGUUGGGGAACACAGUAAUUUCAAAAAAAAAUCUACGAUCAUGCAAGAUCUAUCUAUGUAAUGCAUAGCAACGAGAGGGGAGAGUGUGUCCACGUACCCUCGUAGACUAAAAGCGGAAGCAUUAAGUAAUGCGGUUGAUAUAGUCGAACAUCUUCACGAUCCAACCGAUCAAGUACAGAACGCACGACACCUCCGCGAUUUGCACACGUUCAGCUCGGUGACGUCCCUCGAACUUUAGAUCCAGCUGAGGCCGAGGGAGAGUUCCGUCAGCACGACGGUGUGGUGACGGUGAUGAUGAAGUUACCAGCGUAGGGCUUCGCCUAAGCACUACGACGAUAUGACCGAGGUGGAAAACCGUGGAAGGGGGCACUGCACACGGCUAAAAGAUCAACUUAAUCAACUUGUGUCUCUAUGGGGUGCCCCCUUCUUCCGUAUAUACAGGAGGGAGGGAGGAGGAGGCCGGCCAAGGGUGGCGCUCCCAAGGGGGGGAGAGUCCUACUCCAAGUAGGAAUCGCCCCCCCCCCUUUCCUAUUCCCUUAAGGAGAAGGGGGAAGGAGGAGGAGGAGAGAAGGAAGGAGGGGGGCGCCGCCCCCUCCCCUUAUCCAAUUCGGACUAGGGCAAGGGGGGCGCGCGCCACCUCCUAGCCGACCCUCUUUCUUCUCCACUAAGGCCCAUGAGGCCCAAUAGCUUCCGGGGGAGGGGUCCGGUAACCCUCGGUACUCCGGUUUUAUCUGAAACUUCUCCGGAACACUUCCGAUGUCCGAAUAUAGCCAUCCAAUAUAUCAAUAUGUAUGACUCGACCAUUUCGAGGCUCCUCGUCAUGUCCGUGAUCUCAUCCGGGACUCCGAACAACCUUCAGUACAUCAUAUCACAUAAACUCAUAAUACCAAUCGUCAUCGAACGUUAAGCGUGCGGACCCUACGGGUUAGAGAACUAUGUAGACAUGACCGAGACACGUCUCUGGUCAAUAACCAAUAGCGGAACUUGGAUGCUCAUAUUGGUUCCUACAUAUUCUACGAAGUUCUUUGUCGGUCAAACCGCAUAACAACAUACGUUGUUCCCUUUGUCAUCGGUAUGUUACUUGCCCGAGAAUCGUCGGUAUCAUCAUACCUAGUUCAAUCUCGUUACCGGCAAGUCUCUUUACUCAUUCUGUAAUACUUCAUCCCGUAACUAACUCAUUAGUCACAAUGCUUGCAAGGCUUAUAGUGAUGAGUAUUACCGAGAGGGCCCAGAGAUACCUCUCCGAAAACACGGAGUGACAAAUCCUAAUCUCGAUAUAUGCCAACCCAACAAACACCUUCGGAGACACCUGUAGAGCACCUUUAUAAUCACCCAUUUACGUUGUGACGUUUGGUAGCACACAAAGUGUUCCUCCGGUAUUCAGGAGUUGCAUAAUCUCAUAGUCUGAGGAACUUGUAUAAGUCAUGAAGAAAGCAGUAGCAAUGAAACUGUAACGAUCAUAAUGUUAAGCUAACGGAUGGGUCAUGUCCAUCACAUCAUUCUCUUAAUGAUGUGAUCCUGUUCAUCAAAUGACAACACAUGUCUAUGGUUAGGAAACAUAACCAUCUUUGAUAAACGAGCUAGUCAAGUAGAGGCAUACUAGGGACACUUAUGUUUUGUCUAUGUAUUCACACAUGUAUUAAGUUUCCGGUUAAUACAAUUCUAGCAUGAAUAAUAACAUUUAUCAUGAAAUAAGGAAAUAAAUAAUAACUUUAUUAUUGCCUCUAGGGCAUAUUUCCUUCAGUCUCCCACUUGUAGUAGAGUCAAUAAUCUAGUUCACAUUGCCAUGUGAUUUAACACCAAUAGUUCACAUAUGUAUGUGAUUAACACCCAUAGUUCACAUCGCCAUGUGACCAACACCCAAAGGUUUACUAGAGUCAACUAGUUCGCAUCGCUAUGUGAUUAACACCCAAAGAGUACUAAGGUGUGAUCAUGUUUUGCUCAUGAGAGAAGUUUAGUCAACGGGUCCGUCACAUUUAGAGCCGUAUGUAUUUUGCAAAUAUUCUAUGUCUACAAUGCUCUGCAUGGAGCUACUCUAGCUAAUUGCUCCCACUAUCAAUAUGUAUCCAGAUUGAGACUUAGAGUCAUCUAGAUCGGUGUGAAAGCUUGCAUCAACAUAACUCUUUACGACGAACUCUUUAUCACCCCCAUAACCAAGAAACAUUUCCUUAUUUAUCACUAAGGAUAAUUUUGACCGUUGUCCAGUGAUCUACUCCUAGAUCACUAGUGUACCCCUUUGCCAAACUCAUGGCAAGGUGCACAAUAGGUCUGGUACAUAGCAUAGCAUACUUUAUAGAACCUAUGAUUGUGACAUAGGGAAUGCCUUUCAUUAUCUUUCUAUAUUCUCUCGUGGUCGGUCUUUGAGUCUUACUCAACUUUACACCUUGUAAUAUAGACAAGAACUCCUUCUUUGGCUGAUCCAUUUUGAACUCUUUCAAAAACUUGUCAAGGUAUAUAUUCAUUGAAAAAUCUUAUCAAGCGUCUUGAUCUAUCUUUAUAGAUCUUGAUGCCCAAUAUGUAAGAAGCUUCACUGAGGUCUUUCUUUAAAAAACUCUUAUUCAAGUAUCCAUUUAUGCUAUCCAGAAAUUCUAUAUCAUUUCCAAUCAACAAUAUGUCAUCCACAUAUAAUAUUAGAAAUGCUACAGAGUUCCCACUCACUUUCUUAUAAAUACAGGCCUCUCCAAAAGUCUGUAUAAAACCAUAUGCUUUGAUCAACUCAUCAAAGCGUAUAUUCCAACUCUGAGAUGAUAGCACCAGUCCAUAGAUGGAUUGCUGGAGCUUGCACACCUUGUUAGUACCUUUAGGAUCGACAAAACCUUCUGGUUGCAUCAUAUACAACUCUUAUUUAAGAAAUAUCCAUUUAAGGAAUGCAGUUUUGACAUCAAUUUGCCAGAUUUCAUAAAAUAUGGCAACUGCUAACAUGAUUCGGACGGAUUUAAACAACGCUACAGUUGAGAAAAUCUCAUUGUAGUCAACACCUUGAACUUGUCGAAAACCUUUCACAACAAGUUGAGCUUUGUAAACACUAACAUUACCGUCUGCGUCGGUCUUCUUCUUAAAGAUCCAUUUAUUUUCUAUGGCUUGCCGAUCAUCGGGCAAGUCCACCAAAGUCCACACUUUGUUCUCAUACAUGGAUUCCAUCUCAGAUUUCAUGGCCUCAAGCCAUUUCGUGGAAUCUGGGCUCAUCAUCGCUUCCUCAUAGUUUGUAGGUUCAUCAUGGUCUAGUAACAUGACUUCCAAAACAGGAUUACUGUACCACUCUAGCGGAUCUUACUCUGGAAGACCUAUGAUGUUCGGUAGUAACUUGAUCUGAAGUUUCAUGAUCAUCAUCAUUAACUUCCUCUCUAAUUGGUGUAGGAAUCACUGGAACUGAUUUCUGUGAUGAACUACUUUCCAAUAAGGGAGAAGGUACAAUUACCUCAUCAAGUUCUACUUUCCUCCCACUCACUUUUUUCGAGAGAAACUCCUUCUCUAGAAAGGAUCCAUUCUUAGCAACGAAUAUCUUGCCUUCGGAUCUGUGAUAGAAGGUGUACCCAACAGUUUCCUUUGGGUAUCCUAUGAAGACGCACUUCUCCGAUUUGGGUUUGAGCUUAUCAGGUUGAAGCUUUUUCACAUAAGCAUCGCAGCCCCAAACUUUAAGAAAUGACAACUUUGGUUUCUUGCCAAACCACAGUUCAUAAGGCAUCGUCUCAACGUAUUUUGAUGGUGCCCUAUUUAAAGUGAAUGCAGCCGUCUCUAAAGCAUAACCCCAAAAUGAUAGCGGUAAUUCAGUAAGAGACAUCAUAUAUCGCACCAUAUCCAAUAAAGUACGGUUAUGUCGUUCGGACACACCAUUUCGCUGUGGUGUUCCAGGUGGCGUUAGUUGUGAAACUAUCCCAUGUUGUUUCAAAUGAAGACCAAACUCGUAACUCAAAUAUUCUCCUCCAUGAUGAGAUCAUAGAAACUUUAUUUUCUUGUUAUGAUGAUUUUCCACUUCACUUUGAAAUUCUUUGAAAUUUUCAAAUGUUUCAUACUUAUGCUUCAUUAAGUAGAUAUAAUCAUAUCUGCUCAAAUCAUCUGUGAAGGUAAGAAAAUAACGAUACCCACCACGAGCCUCAAUACUCAUUGGACUGCAUACAUCAGUAUGUAUUAUUUCCAACAAGUCAGUAGCUCGUUCCAUUGUUCCGGAGAACGGGGUUUUAGUCAUCUUGCCCAUGAGGCACGGUUCGCAAGCACCAAGUGAUUCAUAAUCAAGUGAUUCCAAAAGUCCAUCAGCAUGGAGUUUCUUCAUGCGCUUUACACCGAUAUGACCCAAAACGGCAGUGCCACAAAUAAGUUGCACUAUCAUUAUCAACUUUGCAUCUUUUGGCUUCAAUAUUAUUAAUAUGUGUAUUACCACGAUCGAGAUUCAAUAAACCAUCAACAUUGUGUGUAUGACCAUAGAAGAUUUUAUUCAUGUAAACAGAAUAACAAUUAUUCUCUGUCUUAAAUGAAUAACCAUAUUGCAAUAAACAUGAUCUAAUCAUAUUCACGCUCAACGCAAACACCAAAUAACUUUAGGUUCAACACUAAUCCCGAAAGUAUAGGGAGUGUGCGAUGAUGAUCAUAUCAAUCUUGGAACCACUUCCAACAUACAUCGUCACUUCAUUCUUAACUAGUCUCUAUUUAUUCUGCAACUCCUGUUUCGAGUUACUAAUCUUAGCAACCGAACAAGUAUCAAAUACCUAGGGCUACUAUGAACACUAGUAAGGUACACAUCAAUAAUAUGUAUAUCAAAUAUACCUUUGUUCACUUUGCCAUCCUUCUUAUCCACCAAAUAUUUGGGGCAGUUCCACUUCGAGUGACCAUUUCCUUGCAGUAGAAGCACUCAGGGCUUAGAUCCAGCUUGGGGCUUCUUCAUGGGAGUGACAACUUUCUUGCCAUUCUUCUUGAAGUUCCCUUUCUUUCCCUUUGCCCUUUCCUUUUAACCAGCGGUCUUGUUUAAUCAUCAACACUCGAUGUUUUUUCUUGAUUUCUACCUUCGUCGAUUUCAGCAUCACGAAGAGCUCGGGAAUCGUUUUCGUCAUCCCUUGCAUACUAUAGUUCAUCACAAAGUUCCAGUAACUUUGUGACGGUGACUAGAGAACUCUGUUAAUCACUAUCUUAUCUAGAAGAUUAACUCCCACUUAAUUCAAGCGAUUGUAGUACCCCCAGACAUUCUGGGUACAUGCUCACUAGCUGAGCAAUUCUCCUCCAUCUUUUAGGCGAAGUACUUGUAGGAGGUCUCAUACCUCUUGACACGGGCAUGAGUCUGAAAUACCAAUUUCAGCUCUUGGAACAUCUCAUAUGCUCCGUGACAUUUCAAAAACGUUUUUGAAGUCCCGGUUCUAAGCCGUAAGUCAUGGUGAACUAAACUAUCAAUUGGUCAUCAUAUUGAGCUAGUCAAACAUUCAUAACGUCUUCAUAUGCUCCUGCAAUAGGUCUGUCACCUAGCGGUGCAUCAAGGACAUAAUUCUUUUGUACGGCAAUGAGGAUACACUUCAGAUCACGGACCCAGUCAGCAUCAUUGCUACUAUCAUCUUUCAACUUAGUUCUCUAUGAACAUAUAAAACAGAUAGGGAAGCUAUAGUGUGAGCUAUUGAUCUACAACAUAAUUUUAAAAAUACUAUCACGACUAAGUUCAUGAUAAAUUAAAGUUCAAUUAAUCAUAUUACUUAAGAACUCCCACUUAGAUAGACAUCCCUCUAGUCAUCUAAAUGAUCACAUGAUCCAAAUCAACUAAACCAUGUCCGAUCAUCACGUGAGAUGGAGUAGUUUUCAAUGGUGAACAUCACUAUGUUGAUCAUAUCUACUAUAUGAUUCACGCUCGACCUUUCGGCCUCAGUGUUCUGAGGCCAUAUCUGCAUAUGCUAGGCUCGUCAAGUUUAACUCGAGUAUUCUGCGUGUACAAAACUGGCUUGCACCCGUUGUAUGUGAACGUAGAGCUUAUCACACCCGAUCAUCACGUGGUGUCUCGGCACGAUGAACUGUAGCAACAGUGCAUACUCAGGGAGAACACUUAUACCUUGAAAUUUAGUAAGGGAUCAUCUUAUAACGCUACCACUAUACUAAGCAAAAUAAGAUGCAUAAAGGAUAAACAUCACAUGCAAUCAAAAUAUGCGACAUGAUAUGGCCAUCAUCAUCUUGUGCUCAGUAUCUCCAUCACCGAAGCAUCGUCAUGAUCUCCAUCAUCACCGGCACGACACCUUGAUCUCCAUCAUAGCAUCAUUGUCGUGUUGCCAACUAUUGUUACUACGACUAUCGCUACCGCUUAGUGAUAAAGUAAAACAAUUACAUGGCGAUUGCAUUGCAUACAAUAAAGAGACAACCAUAUGGCUCCUGCCAGUUGCCAAUAACUUUGUUACAAAACAUGAUCAUCUUAUAUAACAAUUUAUAUCACAUCAUGCCUUGACCAUAUCACAUCACAGCAAGCCCUGCAAAAACAAGUUAGAUGUCCUCUACUUUGUUGUUGCAAGUUUUACGUUGCUGCUACGGGCUUCUAGCAAGAACCGUUCUUACCUACGCGUCAAAACCACAACGAUUUUUCGUCAAGUGUGUUGUUUUAACCUUCAACAAGGACCGGGCAUAGCCACACUCGAUUCAACUAAAGUUGGAGAAACAGACACCCACCAGCCACCUAUGUGCAUAAGCACAUCGGUAGAACCAGUCUCAUGAACGUGUUCAUGUAAUGUCGGUCCAGGCUGCUUCAUCCAACAAUACCGCCGAAUCAAAGUAUGACAUGCCGGUAAGCAGUAUGACUAUUAUCGCCCACAACUCUUUGUGUUCUACUCGUGCAUAUAACAUCUACGCAUAGACCUGGCUCGGAUGCCACUGUUGGGGAAUGCGGUAAUUUCAAAAAAUUACCCACGAUCAUGCAAGAUCUAUCUAUGUGAUGCAUAGCAAUGAGAGGGGAGAGUGUAUCCACGUACCCUCGUAGACCGAAAGCGGAAGCGUUAAGUAAUGCGGUUAAUGUAGUCGAACGUCUUCGCGAUCCAACCGAUCAAGUACCGAAUGCACGGCACCUCCACAAUCUGCACACGUUCAGCUCAGUGACGUCUGAGGGAGUCCUGGAUUAGGGGGUGUCCGGAUGGCCGGACUAUGACCUUCGGCCGGACUCCUGGACUACGAAGAUACAAGAUUGAAGACUCCGUCCCGUGUCCGGAUGGGACUUUCCUUGGCGUGGAAGGCAAGCUUGGCGAUACGAUAUGAAGAUCUCCUCCCAUUGUAACCGACUCUGUGUAACCCUAGCCCUCUCCGGUAUCUAUAUAAACAAGAGAGUUUUAGUCCAUAGGACGAACAACAAUCAUACCAUAGGCUAGAUUCUAGGGUUUAGCCACUCCGAUCUCGUGGUAGAUCUACUCUUGUACUACCCAUAUCAUCAAUAUUAAUCAAGCAGGAGUAGGGUUUUACCUCCAUCGAGAGGUCCCGAACCUGGGUAAAAACAUCGUGUCCCUUGUCUCCUGUUACCAUCCACCUAGACGCAUAGUUCGGGACCCCCUACCCGAGAUCCGCCGGUUUUGACACCGACAUUGGUGCUUUCAUUGAGAGUUCCUCUGUGUCGUCGCCUUUAGGCCCGAUGGCUUCUUCGCUCGACAAUCACGAUGCGGUCCGGGAUGAGAUCUUUCUCCCCGAACAGAUCUUUGUAUUCGGCGGCUUCGCACUGCGGGCCGACUCGUUCGGCCAUCUGGAGCAGAUUGAAAGCUACGCCCCUGGCCAUCAGGUCAGGUUUGAAAGCUUAAACUACACGGCCAACAUCCACGGGGACUUGAUCUUCGACGGAUUCGGGCCACGACCGGGCGCGCCGCACUGUCUCAAUGGGCAUGAUCUAGCUCUGCCCCCGGACAGCGACCAGAGCGCCGCUCAGGUGUUCACUCCGACCAUUAGUUCGGAGCCGACUGCGCUAGCCAGGGGCGGACGGUUGGACGCCGCCCCAGGAGCCGCAGUCUCUGCGGCGAUAGAGCCGAAUACCAGCCAAGUCCUUUGUGAGGUCGGUAACUCCAAGGUGCCGGACUCCGUUCCGGACUCUGAAUAUUCUGCACCCCUUUCGAUCGAACCCGAUCGGGCUCCGAUCACGGAGUUCACCGCCACGGACGUCUUUCAGCACUCGCCCUUUGGCGAUAUCCUAAAUUCGCUAAAGUCCCUCUCUUUGUCGAAAGAACCCCGGCCGGACUACGGUCGGGGUGGUUGGGAUGCGGACGACGAAGUUCGAAACCCACCCACCACCCACUUGAUAGCCACUGUCGAAGAUAUAACCGACAUGCUCGAUUUCGACUCCGAAGAUAUCGACGGUAUGGACGCCAAUAGAGGAGACGAUCAAGAACCAGCACCUAUAGGGCUCCGGAAAACCACCUCAUCAUACGAUGUAUGCAUGGUGGACACAUACAACAGAAACGACAACGAGGACCAAAAGGAUGCGGCCAGGGAUCGCUCCCCCGAAAAACAAUCAAAGCGGCGGCGUAAGCGCAAGGCCAAGCCCCACCUCGACAAAGAUCCAGCCAUAGAGCAGGGUGACUCAACAGACGAUGAACAUGCCGUCGAGCAUCCGUCCAAGCAGGGUGGAAAAUCCGAACAACCAAUCCCCGGGAAAGAUAAUAGCCCGGACGACCUCACACCAGACAAAUUGCUGGAACAUCAGAACCUCCACCAAAGGCUCGUCGCCACUGCAUGUAGCCUGAGAAAGCAGAAGCGGAGGCUCAAGACAGCGGAAGAUGCACUCAGGAUCAGAUGGGUCAAAGUACUCAAUACCGCACACAAGUACGGCAAUAGUCGCCACACAAAGAGCUAUCCGAAGCGGAAACUACUAAUGGAAUUUGACGAAGAGGCCAUAAAGCCCCCACUGUCAAAAAAUAAGGAAGCCACAAGGUAGGAUAGACGACCCUACGAUCAAUCUCAUGCAUCAAAGGACGACGCACUCAAUAUGGUGCGCGAUCCGUCCAAGAAUUCACAUCAGAAAACUGGCCCAACCAGAUCCAUCUAUAGGCCAAGAAAGCAAGCUCCAAUGAGUGAUGCAACGCAAAAAAUACCUGAACAUCGCGGCACGCCUAAAUACAGGGGCGCCGCACACCCCCUAUGUUUUACCGAUGAGGUGCUGAAUCAUGAAUUCCCAGCCGGAUUCAAGCCAGUGAACAUAGAAGCAUACGACGGAACAACAGACCCUGGAGUCUGGAUCGAGGACUACAUCCUCCACAUACACAUGGCCAGAGGAGAUGACCUCCACGCCAUAAAAUACUUACCCCGUAAGCUCAAAGGGCCAGCCCGGCAUUGGCUUAAAAGCCUUCCCGAAAACACCAUGGGAAGUUGGGAAGUGCUUGAGGAUGCUUUCCGGGCAAAUUUUCAAGGGACCUAUGUCCGGCCCCCGGAUGCAGAUGAUCUGAGUCAUAUAACUCAGCAGCCCGGAGAGUCAGCCCGGAAGCUCUGGAACAGAUUCCUUAUAAAAAAGAAUCAAAUAGUCGACUAUCCGGACGUAGAGGCCCUAGCAGCUUUCAAACAUAGCGUCCGAGACGAAUGGCUCGCCAGACACCUCGGCCAAGAAAAGCCGCGAACAAUGGCCGCGUUAACAAGCCUCAUAACCCACUUCUGUGCAGGAGAGGAUAGCUGGUUGGCAAGAAGCAGCACCAGUGACCCGAAUACGUCCGAACCCAGAAAUGGGAACGGGAAGCCGCGCCGUAACAAAGAACCGCGCCGGAUAAAGGACAAUAGCCCGAUGAGCACGGCGGUAAAUGCCAGAUUCAAAAGCUCUCGGCAAAAUCAGAAAAAGCUGCCCCCCAAAGACGAUAGGGAUGAGCUAUCCAACCUCAAAAAAAUUUCGGACAAAAUAUGUCAAAUCCACAGCACUCCGGGGAGACCUGCAAACCAUACCCACAGAGAUUGUUGGGUCUUUAAGCAGUCUGGCAAGCUCAACACCGAACACAAGGGGCUCAAUACACCAAGCGAAGAUGACGAUGCACCCCACGAGCAGAACACCGGAGAACAAAAGAAGUUCCCACAAGAAGUCAAGACAGUAAAUCUACUUCAUUUGACGAAAGGGAAGAGCAGAACGGCACCUACAACAACACGCGCCGUACAGCCAGCCCCGGAGGAGCAACCCCACUGGUUGUUACAACCAAUCACCUUCGAUCAUCAGGAUUACUCUAGAGGAGACCAGAACGCAGGUUGGACUACCUUGGUCUUAAAUCCAAUCAUUAACGGACUCCAAUUUACAAACGCCCUUAUGGACGGAGGCAGCGACUUGAACCUGUUAUAUCAGGACACAGUCCGCAAACUCGGGGUAAACCCAGCCGUAGUCCACCUCGGCAACACUUCCUUUCAAGGAGUAACGCCAGGUUCGGAUACCCCAAGUAUGGGUUCCCUUAAGUUAGAAGUCACGUUCGGAUCACCCGACAACUUCCGAAGCGAAAAGCUAACAUUCCACAUCGCCCCAUUCGUAAGUCGCUAUCAAGCGCUACUGGGACGUGAAGCUUUCGCCCGCUUUAACGCAAUACCGCACUACGCAUCCCUUACACUUAAAAUGCCCGGUCCAAAGGGCAUCAUUUCAUUACAAGGGAACAUAAAUUGACCCCCAAAGUACGGGCAGGGGUGCGGCUGCCUAGACAGCCGCCCACAAAUCCAGCCCUACUAUCCCGGACACGGCUCGACGAGUCCGGUGUCAACAUGCUUCAAUAGCCGCAUACCCUCGUGCAAGGGGCUCCGUGUGCUCACGCCCGAAGACAAUACGGCCCAACUCUUGCUCCAACUAUAUUCUGUUUAUUUCGAUAUAGAUUUCUCGCACGCUUAAUUUUUACUAAGUUCCUCUCUUUCGCAGACGAACAUCGUGCUACGCCCGUCCAGGAUACGGCACAACGGAGACACAGGCGCAGACGUGCAGCAGGGACCCGUUCCAAGGAUUCUUUUUAGAUUAAGACCCUGCGUAAACCUUUUUUACUGUCUCUUGUUGAUAACAUCCCCCGGUUUUCUCUAUAGCCGAGGAGGAGGCUGGCGUCUUGGCAUGUGGCCACGCCAGAAUUUUUGCACAUACCUGGACACUAGAGGCUUUUUUACCAAGGGCUCUAUUUCGGCCCGUCUUCAUAAAGACCGAAUACCUUAGGGAGUGUUCAGCGUCGCGAGUUUGGCCCUAUAUGCAUCAGCUCCGAAUCAUGUCUUUGGUCAAAUGUUGGGUUUGCCCGGCUCCUGUGUUUUGCUGCCUUGCGUUCCGUAAUAUCGGCUAGCGCGGCACCAGGAGAACUACUGUGAUUGUGCCCCGGUUCAGCCAGGUGAGCACCUCAGUAGAGAAAGCCGAAAACCGACUGUCGUGAUACAGCGAGAGACUGGUCAACCACUCGAUGACUUUCGGAAUCUUUCGGAUUCCCCCGCAUUAACGAAGGGCCGCUUCCCGGUCAGGCACACUCGCGCCCCGAAUUUGGGCGAGUGCGGUGCCCCUAAGGGCUAUUCAGUAGUCCCACUGUCAAACUCCUAUGGCUAAGUGAAAGUGAUAAAGCAUUAUAGUCCGGUUGCCUAGUUCGCCGCGCCACCACCUCCUUUGUAGGACCAAGACGUUGGAUUAAGUGUGAAAAGGCGCCUUUUUGCGAACACCCCCGCAUUCUAUGCGUGGGGGCUGAAGCCAACGACUGUCAUCUUUCAGGUUAUAUACAAAUAUAUACAUUAAACGGCCGCACAGGAGGCAUCAUGAUUCUUGCAAGCACAAGUAUAAAAAAGCUUUUUUCAUAAAAACACAAUUCGUCUUACAAAUAGUAUAAGCUAUUCGAACACAACAUCCUUCGAGCACUGCGACUCUAUUAUACGAGCGCCAGGAAGAACUUCCUCAAAAUAGUGCUUGGAAGGUACUCGGCUUUCGUCCGAAUCCUGGGACGCAACAAUACUGGCCUUCAUAUCUGCCCAGUAUGUCUUGACACGGGCAAGAGCCAUCUGUGCGCCCUCUAUGCACGCCGACCUCUUCAUUGCAUCAACAUGCGGCACCGAACCAAGGAAUUGCUGCACCAAGCCAAAAUAACUCUUCGGCUCCGGCUUCUCCGGCCACAGACGACUCGCAACAUACUUCAUGGCGAGUCCGGAUAAUCUGUUCAGCUCCGCCCAGGCAGCUAAACGGUCGGAUACUGACAGUGGGUGUUCUGGAUUGUGGUACUGCGACCAAAAAAGCUCUUCCAAUUCAUGGUCACCUCGGCUGCGGAAGUGUUCGGUCGCGUCCGCCGCACUUGUGGCCAAAUCCAGAUAAGCGUUUUCCGAACUCCACUGUCGGUCUAAUGGAGCAUACUUGGGGUCUCCGAACUUCAUCCGCAACAUAUAAGGCUUUCCAGCCGUGAUAUCUCCGGCCUGACGCAGCUCCUCCUUCAUCGCUCUCAUGGCAGAGCGAGUAUCCUUGGCUUCGGCAGUGAUCUUUUCAAGAUCCUUCUGAGCCGCCCUAUCUUCUUGUUCAAGCAAUUUACAGCGGUCGGUAGCAUCCUUAAAUUUUAUGGCCAUCUCGGCCAUUUCCUUCUUGCUCUGGCAGUGAGCAGCCUGUUCGGCUUUUAGCUCUUCAGCCGCUUUAGCGGCAGCCGCAUCACUCUUCCUUGCUUGCUCCUUUGCUCGGGCAAGCUCCGCCCGAAGGUUCUCCAUGGCAGCAGCACCAUCUACAUGAAGCAUAUAUAAGGCCCGAGCAUCAAGCUCCUAUUACUGGGUGUCUUUUGAACAUACCUUGAGCCUCGUCUAGCCGCUUAUGUACAAGCACGAUGUCGGCAUCUGCUACAUCAAGUUGCCGCUUUAGUUCGGCAGAUUCAUCAGUCCGGCUAGCCACCGAACGCCUCGCCACCUUCAUGGAAUAGGCGGCACAUUAUACCUGGGGUUAUGAUCCUCUGUGCGCCGUCACUCAUGACGACAUACAGAGUCUCAGGGGCUACUAUUCAUACAUGGCACAUUUAAUAUGCGGCUCUACCAAAAGGUACACCUUUUUACAUACCUCAAAGCCUGUUAGUAAACUCCUGGCAGCCUCAUACAAUCCGCUUUCCGCGGAUGAAAUCCUUCCAAUCACCGUAUCCAUCAACAUAUGGUGUUCUUCUGAGAUGGACGCCCUACCAAGUAGAUCCUUCAGCACCUCUGCCGGCGCGCAAGAGGGUGCCGGACUAGUCUGACGGCCUUUCCCAGGGUCCGGACUUGAAAAGGCCCUCCGGGACGAUACCUCGGGGUCGCCAACAUCGUAGGACGGUGGAGCAAGGGGAGGCGUUUCGCUCUCUAUCAUCUUCGGACGAAGAUCCCCUGAAGAUGAGCUCUGCUGAGAAGGGUUGAGAUCCGAACUGCAAGAUAAUGCUUCGGUUAUUUUCCUCAGGAAUAAAACAUGAAUGUGAUUCAUUAUGGAACCCCUCCCCUCACUUACGCCUCGGGGGAGAGCGGGUCCCCUUUAGGGGGCGAUUCGGCUGAAGCGUCUACCGGUGCCGAAUCCUCUGACGAAGAUUUCUUUCCCCGUUUUGAGGUUAUCACCUCCGGGUCUUCAGAGGCAGUCCUUUUCUUUCCCUGGUCGGGAGAAUUUUCGAUUCUUCCCUUCCUAACGGCCUCCUUCGUGGAGGCGGUAGCUCCUUGGUCCCCCCUUCACCUUUCGCCAACGGCGCGGCCUCCAGCAUCCUGGUAAGCAUGGGAUUCGGCACGGUCUCAGGCAGGGGGGCUGGACACCUGAUAAGCUUUGCCUUCGCUAUUCACUCCUGUUCAAAGGGCAACUCUGCUAAAGGGUAGAUUUGAUAAAAAUAUGGAUGGUGUGUUCAAAUACGGGGCUACUUACUUUAGCAUCCGAGCGUUUGCAGCUCAGACCUGCGUCCUCAGACAAAUCCAGACACCUUGCUUGUGAUCCAAAGAACAAUUUGUACAUCUCUAUGGGUGUCAUUCCCAUGAAAUGUUGUAGGACCCGUGGUCCCUCAGGAUUGAACUCCCACAGGCGGAGAGGUCGACGUUUGCAGGGCAGUGUGCGGCGAAUCACCAUGACUUGCGCCACCACGGUCAGAUUGAUAUCUCUUUCUAGGAGAUCUCGAAUACGGCCCUGCAGCAAGGGCACGUCUUUUGGCGGCCCCAGAUAAGUCCUUCAUUAACCCAUGACGCCAGCCGUGGUGGGGGACCCGAGCGAAAAGUAGGCGGUGCCACCCAUGUGGUGCCCCUAGGGGCUAUGAUGUAAAACCAGUCAUGUUGCCAUAAACCGAGCUCCUCUUGAAAAGAGCCUUCGGGCCAUGGAGCGUCGUCCAUCUUGCUUAUUAUAGCCCCUCCGCACUCAGCGUGCUGCCCCUCGAUCAUUUUCGGUUCCACUUUGAAAGUUUUUAGCCACAAUCCGAAGUGAGGGUGAUAUGGAGGAAGGCUUCGCACACGACAAUGAAUGAUGAGAUCUGGAGGAUGGACUCCGGAGCUAGGUCGUGGAACUCCAGCCCGUAGUAAAACAUAAGCCCCCUCACAAAGGGAUCGAUCGGGAAGCCUAGUCCCCGAAGGAAGUGAGAUGCGAACACCACGCUUUCACCAGGCUGGGGAGCGGGAACAACUUGCCCUUGAGUAGGCAGUCUAUGCGAGAUUUCGUCGGUUAGAUACCUGGCAUCUCUUAGCUUUCGCACAUCUUCUUCCGUAAUGGAGGAAGGCAUCCACCGGCCUUGAGGGUCGGAGCCGGACAUCUUCGAAGGUCUGAAGCGCCUAAAACUAGAGCUUUGGGUGUUGGAACUCGAAGUGAGGGGCGGGUUUGAUUGGUUUAAGAGCAAGGGAGCCGGGCCUUGGUUCCUUUAUAAAGGAGGUGAAUACCAAGAGCCCUCCCCGUAACCAUUUGAGACUCGCUUUCAAUUAGGGAGUCAUACCUAAGUCACGGUUGGGUUACCCACACCCGUAAUGAUGAGAAUCCCGGAAUAAGGGGACAUGAUCUCUGCUUUGACAAGACGUGCCAAGGAAACCGCCUCGCUAAACGCGCUGAGGUGGAACAAUAAAAUAAAUAAAGAGCCUGGCUGUGGCAUGAUGUCGCGCUGCGGAAUACGUCAGCAGAUCCGAUUAAUACAAAUAUUAUUCUCUCUACAAAGGAAUGUGGAACUUACUUCGCAGAGCCGGACACUACCCUGGUGUUCAACAUCUUCUAUGAAAUAUUCGGAGGAGGAACCCGCCUUGCAAUGCCGAAGGGACUUUCCUUGGCGUGGAAGGCAAGCUUGGCGAUACGAUAUGAAGAUCUCCUCCCAUUGUAACCGACUCUGUGUAACCCUAGCCCUUGUAUCUAUAUAAAACGGAGAGUUUUAGUCCGUAGGACGAACAACAGUCAUACCAUAGGCUAGAUUCUAGGGUUUAGCCACUCCGAUCUCGUGGUAGAUCUACUCUUGUACUACCCAUAACAUCAAUAUUAAUCAAGCAGGAGUAGGGUUUUACCUCCAUCGAGAGGGCCCGAACCUGGGUAAAAACAUCAUGUCCCUUGUCUCCUAUUACCAUCCGCCUAGACGCACAGUUCGGGACCCCCUACUCGAGAUCCGCCGGUUUUGACACCGACAUUGGUGCUUUCAUUGAGAAUUCCUCUGUGUCGUCGCCUUUUAGGCCCGAUGGCUUCUUCGCUCGUCAACCGCAAUGCGGUCCGGGAUGAGACUUUUCUCCCCGGACAGAUCUUCGUAUUCGGCGGCUUCGCACUGCGGGCUGACUCAUUCGACCAUCUGGAGCAGAUCGAGAGCUACGCCCCUGGCCAUCAGGUCAGGUUUGGAAGCUUGAACUACACGGCCGACAUCCACGGGGACUUGAUCUUCGACGGAUUCGAGCCACAACCAGGCGCGCCGCAUUGUCAUGAUGGAUACGAUUUAGCUCUGCCAUCGGACAACACCCAGAGCGUCGCUCAGGUGUCCGCUCCGACCAUUAGCUCGGAGCCCACUACGCCAAUCGGGGACGGACGGUUAGACGCCACCCCGGAAACUGCAAUCUCUACGGCGAUAAAGCCGGAUACCAGCCUAGCCCCUUGCAAGGCCCGUGACUUUGAACAUGUCCCUCAAACUCUAGAUCCAGCUGAGGCCGAGGGAGAGUUCCGUCAGCACGAUGGCAUGGUGACGGUGAUGAUGAAGUUACCGGCGCAGGGCUUUGUCUAAGCACUACGACGAUAUGACCGAGGUGGAAAACUAUGGAGGGGGUACCGCACACGGCUAAAAGAUCAACUUGAUCAACUUGUGUCUCUAUGGGGUGCCCCUUCUUCCGUAUGUAAAGGAGGGAGGGAGGAGGAGGCCAGCCAAGGGUGGCGCGCCCAACGGGGUGAGUCCUACUCCAACUAGGAAUCUCCCCCCCCUUUCCUAUUCCCAUAAGGAGAAGGGGGGAAGGAUGAGGAGGAGAGAAGGAAGGAGGGGGGCGCCACCCCCUCCCCUUGUCCAAUUCGGUCUAGGGCAAGGGGGGCGCACGCCACCUCCUGGCCGGCCCUCUCUUUUGUCCACUAAGGCCCAUUAGGCCCAAUAGCUUCCCGGGGAGGGGGGGGGUUCCAGUAACCCUCGGUACUCGGGUUUUAUUCGAAACUUCUCCGGAACACUUCCGGUGUUUGAAUAUAGCCGUCCAAUAUAUCAAUCUUUAUGUCUCGACCAUUUCGAGGCUCCUCAUCAUGUCUGUGAUCUCAUCCGGGACUCCGAAAAACCUUCGGUACAUCACAUCACAUAAACUCAUAAUACCAAUCGUCAUUGAACGUUAAGCGUGCGGACCCUACGGGUUCGAGAACUAUGUAGACAUGACCGAGACACGUCUUUGGUCAAUAACCAAUAGUGGAACCUGGAUGCUCAUAUUGGUUCCUACAUAUUCUACGAAGAUUUUUAUCGGUCAAACCGCAUAACAACAUACGUUGUUCCCUUUGUCAACGGUAUAUUACUUGCCCGAGAUUCGAUCGUCAGUAUCAUCAUACCUAGUUCAAUCUCGUCACCGGCAAGUCUCUUUACUCAUUCUGUAAUACUUCAUUCCGCAACUAACUCAUUAGUCACAAUGCUUGUGAGGCUUAUAGUGAUGAGUAUUACCGAGAGGGCCCAAAGCUACCUCUCCGAAAACACGGAGUGACAAAUCCUAAUAUCGAUCUAUGACAACCCAACAAACACCUUUGGAGACACCUGUAGAGCACCUUUAUAAUCACCCAUUUACAUUGUGACGUUUGGUAGCACACAAAGUGUUCCUCCAGUAUUCGGGAGUUGCAUAAUCUCAUAGUCUGAGGAACUUGUAUAAGUCAUGAAGAAAGCAGUAGCAAUGAAACUGUAACGAUCAUAAUGCUAAGCUAACGGAAGGAUCAUGUCCAUCACAUCAUUCUCUAAUGAUGUGAUCCCCUUCAUCAAAUGACAACACAUGUCUAUGGUUAGGAAACAUAACCAUCUUUAAUAAACGAGCUAGUCAAGUAGAGGCAUACUAGGGACACUUAUGUUUUGUCUAUGUAUUCACACAUGUACUAAGUUUCCGGUUAAUACAAUUCUAUCAUGAAUAAUAAACAUUUAUCAUGAAAUAAGGAAAUAAAUAAUAACUUUAUUAUUGCCUCGAGGGCAUAUUUCCUUCACUUCCCACGCGGCCGAGCCUGCUCGCCAUCCCCAACCUCAUCCACGGCUUCCUUUCUCCCGGGCGACUUGAGGGCGGCAUAUUGCGCCUUGAACUUCUCCUCAUCUUUUAUGACCCUAUAGCAAUGGAAGAGGUUGAAGCACUUGCCGUUGUGUUGGACCUUGAAUGCCUCCAAAGCUUGAAAUGCCUACAAAUGUUUUCAUGCAAGCAUGUUGGCACAAAUGGGAUGCAAAUGAGCACGCAAGCAUGAACUUGAUGACACAAAAGAGGGCGGCUUGCUACCAUACCAUGUCUUGCAUGCCGAUGCCGCUCACGGGGCGGGCCUUGACGCUCUCAAGAGUGGCACAAAACUUGUUGCACUCUUGUUGGAUCACUCUCCAUCGCUUUGAAAUGGACACCCACCCACGCAUGCUCACAAUUUGGUAAGGAGGAAACUUCUUGCGCUCAUGAAAUUCCUGGUGGACACAAAUCCAAAAAGUUGAAUGCUUUUGUUUGGUGCCGGUCUUGGGGUCUUGUCCAAUGUCCCUCCAACACUCUCAAAGAAGCUUGUCCUCGGCCGCCAUGUAUGCCUUUGUGCGCUUGCUCUUGCGCUUUGGCUUCGGCCCGCGGCUUGGUUGGCGAGCUCGUCCUCAAACAAAGGCUCCACUUCGAUGUCGCACUCGUCUUCUUCCUCUUGCCCGUAGUCGUCCGGACACUCAUGGUCAAGUGGGAAGCCGUCCAGGUCCAUGCCGAGCUGAUCACACAUGAAGGCCGACAGAUCAUAGCCAGCGCCCGGCAUGAAUGCCCCGCGGCCGUCCUGGCUUUGUGUCUCCUCGGGGUCAUGGCCAGCGGCCGACGCACCGCCCUCAAAGAUGAGGUUCUGCAUGUAGUCCUCGUCGCCGGUGGCCGGCAUUUCGUCGAACAGGUUGCGGGCGCCCGGUAGCACGUCAGUCGGCAUCUGCCGCGCGCGUUUCCUCGCGCCUCCAGAUGAUGAGCCACCGGCUACCGGUGUGGCGUUGAGGUCGAUAGGCGCGGGCACGGGCAUGGAAGGCGCCACCACGCUCACGUCGGGCGAGCACUACCCGGAGAGGCGCGAGGCCUGCGGGUACACGUGGAAGUCGGGUAUCAGAGUGCAAGCCGACGCGCGGGGCGAGUUGGGCAGCACCAUCCGAGGGAACGCGGACGAGCCAGUGCUGGUCGCGGCGGCCACGGCGACGUUGACGAGGCCGUGUUGGCUAGGGUUUAACCCUAGCAUGUAGAGCGCCUCCCUUGUUGCCGCCGCGACGCGGGCGUUCGUGACCUCCUGCUGCGCGGCGGCGGCGACGGCGGUAGCCGCGACGGCUUCACCCCUCGCAUCUGCGGCGUGCUUCCGGUUCUUCCUCUUGGCCGACUCCGCCGUUCGCUGUUCGCGCGUCAGCGCCUUCUUUGGCUUGGUCGCGGCGGCGGUUUUGCGCGGGGCACGGGGCUUGCCUUUGCCGGAGGGGGCGGUCUUCAUGCCGGACGAGGUCGAGCUCGUCGUCCAUGGCAGGUGCGGGACGGGAGCGCGCGCGAGCGGGAGGGUUUUGGGGAAAUUGGGGGGAAAUAGUGCUUGCUGCCACCGACCGGCGGGCCCGGGAAAAGGAGUAGGCGUGCGCGCGUCCGUCGCAUGUCCGCGCCGACGCAAAUCCUGCUCAAAAAUGGGCCGGGAAUAGGUCGCCCGCGGACGAAAAACGGACGCGUGUUCAUUUGGGUCGGCGCGUUGGGCUGCAUUUUAUGUCCGCGCCGACCCAAGCGGACGGCGGCGGACGAAAUGGAUCGUCCGUUGGAGUUGCUCUAAUGUACUCAACAAGUUAACUGAGAAUUAUCACAUACUUCUCACUUAACUUGCUCAGUGUGAUGAGAGUACAAGUGUGUGAACGUCUGCGUCUAUAUGUUUCGGAAGAAAAAAAAGUAUCGACCUAUCAACCCAUUCGCAUCUCUGAAGCUAAACGUAACCGGGGUCCGCCGUUUUCUCUCGGCAGUUUUUACAUGUACUGUCGUGCAGUUCAGUUAGCCGGAAGGUUCAGAUAAGUGCGCAUGCAUCACUGCAUCAGCUCCUGACACCAUGCGGAUCUUCAGCAAUGUUAGAAUAAUCUAUCUCUUCUCCCAUGAGAUGCACUAACAAAAGCCCCCUUUAUUCACCUACCAAUAUGCCGGUGACAGAUCAUGUGUACGGGUUGGAUAGUUUGCUCGAUGCAGAGCACAGGAAUCGCAUCCUUAUCUCUUAGUUAACUCUGGAUGUCACACUCCUAACACGUAGGAGUAAAGUGGCAAUACAAAAUGAUGAAGUGAAACACUUAAAUAAACCUUUGUAGUGCUCAAGCCUGCAUGGCAUGUCCCAGGUUACAGAACAGCAUGUAAAAUCAGUGACAAGAUCAGCAGCCUUGUCAUCUGCAGAUUACAAGUAAUACUGUUUUCUAUAAGAAAACGAAGUUGGAGAUAACUAAUGCCACUUCAUGAAAGGGAAGAUCCAUGCAUGAACCUGAUUAUUGCACGGACGGUUCUCCGACCACAACUUGUUGGUGCUGAUAUUAUUGAGCGUAUUGCCUGAUAAAAAAGGACAUACAACGUUGUACUCUCUCGGUUUGAACUAAAAUCAUGACAAGUAUUUUGGAACGGAGAAAGUGAUAUUGUACCAGGUAAUUUUCGUGGGCAUAUUGAUUUCUUCCACCAGUUUGCCUCCUCUACCCCAACAUAGCUUAACCAGGAUAUUUUGGAAACAAUGCAUGUACGUCGUUUAAAAUGGUAUCAUCGAUCGUUGUCCGUUCAACAGGCAUGAUGUAGGAUGAAGUUUGUCGUCAUCAGACUCUAAACAACUUCAAUGAGCUAGACACUCGACUUAUCCAAGUUUUAAACUUGAGAUUCAACUCGCCGAUGAAGUAAGCAUCAUAAAUAUCUUCUGAUCUACCCAUAGAUUAGUUGUUGGUUUAGGAUACGAUCCCACGGCAAAUCCAUACAAUAUCAUGUCAUUUACUGUACUCAUGUGUAGGAGAUUUAUCGAACUCACGUCAUCCGAAGCUACCAAGCACCUGUUAGUUCUACAUCAGAUUUUGUUUUUGAUUUGAUUUUUAAUCUAGUCAAAACUUACUAAAUAUAAAAGGUAAUGAUGGCCACAUGCCCCAAUUGAAAGUUGUUAACACUCAAAAAUAAAUAAAAAUUGAAAGUUGUUUGUUUACUAGUAACUUUUUGUUGGUAAACCUAGUAAAUUUGUCAGUGGCCCAAACCAUCAUAUCUGAGACUCCAGCGUGCAAAAACCUAACCCUGUAAAAUAAAUAAAUCAUGUUGCAGAAUGCUAAUUAUGGCAACAAAAAAAACUCGUUAAGCAGCUUAGUGGACUCGGUUCGAUAGUGCUCGGAUUACACUCAAAUAUCUCAAAAUAAAUAAUUAUUUUUUGUGAUAUGUAAUUAUCCUUCGGCUCCACUACAACCGACAUUCCUUAAAUUCAAAGCAAGCUUGCUAACUAUUGUUGGGGCUCGAAUUGAACCCUUCAUCCUAUGCAUUUCAAAUUUCUGACAUGCCACACACCACAUUAGUAAAUAUAUGAGUGUUUACAUAAAGACAUAUUCUUGAAUAUACAAAUGUCAACAUCAUUUUGCUUUAAUAAAGGUAUCACAUAUCUAAUGAUCUCACUUCAGUUUGCCCAAAAUAAUUAUAUUUUAUAUUGUUGAAUAUGCGUUGGAUAUAUGUAGGCGUUGUUUCAUAUUUGGGAUAGAACUAACGUAGGAUUAGGUAUUUGAGUCAAACGGGUUAAUCCAGGGCUAACAUGUAAAUGGACCGUGGCAAAACGAAACUAGAUGGGACUAAGCUCGUAGGCUAGACACAGCUCACGAGACGCACGGUCUGGACUCCCUUGACAGGGGUGAUUGGACCCAUGUGGUCCAGAUGUUGUUGGAUGGCCUCGGCGGAUUUUGUCGUCGGUGUACUACAUAGAUUUAGUACAUAUAUGGAAGAGUACAUAUACUCAUGCCCCUGGGAUAUAGGGUGUCAUGCUCAAUCUCGUAAACAAAUUUUAGUGUUGUUGUUGUGAUUGCAUGUCCUAUAAUCAAAGAUGCCUCAUAUUUUUAACAUCAACUACAUAUUAAUUGGUGAUGGUAGAGAAGGUUGAUUACAGACUUAAAAAAAUGGUUUCUAUCUUGAACAAAGGUAGUACAUGGCAUAUACGUACCAAAGCAUCAAAUAACAUAACAAAUAUAGUGUGAUCUUGUAACCAAGAGACAUACCUGCAAGUCAAUUUCUGAUAAAUUAGAGGAGCAAAGUUGCAAAACAACUAGCAUUCAUCAGAUGUUAUAAAUCCUGGAACACCUCUAGCCUAAAACCUUUUCACCUCUUUUAAAAUCCUAUGAAAACUUGGUCUAGAACUAGGAAAACUAGAGCCCUCUCACCAUCAAGGAUAUAAUUCUGAUCACGAUAAAACAGAGUACUUCCAGAAUACCUCAUGCAUUCUCUGAAUUUCGACAAGCUUUCUAAUGUCUCGAGUAAUUCAUAACACCUAGCUACCACUUCCCAGAUUUCAUUUAGAGAAAAGGCAUACGCUUGCUUUAUUAUAACAGAAGGGGCCCUUUUCACACAAAAAAUAUAAUAGAAAUGGGAGAGAACCCCGCUUGCACUUUCUAGAUACCCUAGUCUGUUCAGCCUCCGAACUUCAUAGAAAUUAAGGCUCACUUUGUUUAAGAAAUGAUCCUCAUACUUGGCACUCAAUUCUUAUUUUAAGAACACAUCACUCAAUGUGCAUAUGCUCCAAUUUCACAUAUGCUAUGAGACCGUGAAGAAAAAAACACCCUACUCUCUAGAAUGGAUAAGUGCGCUUGUGCUCUUUUACCAUGUACUUGUCAGAAAUGGAUUGUAGUUUUCAAUCAGCCUAUCAACUUUGUGUAACUGAUGGUGUGUGAUUUUUUCUUUUUCACAAAUAAAAAAGACUAGACGAGAUAUUUAAGAUGGCCCAUACCCGGCAACAGUACAGUACUAAAGGUGGAUUGGUGGCAGGUGGCUGCGGCGGCCUCAUACCCGGCAGGCGUCCUGGUUGAGGAGUGCGCCGGACUGGUGGGUGCCCCAUACCCGGCAUGCGUCCUGGUUGGGACCUCGGAUCUUAGAUGUUUGGUUUGGCUGCGAGGUCUGUUUGGUAUUAGGCCCAGACUAUCAGCAUCCCUUCAUCAACUGGAUAGGAGUAGCGACAGAUGUCGCCUAGACGGUGGCUUUAGCCUUACUGUUGUAUGACUUUGUAAGGUCUUGUGUGAAUAAUUAAUAAAGUGGCCGCAUGCAUCGUCCAGAUGCAGAGGCCGGGGGUCCUCCUCCUUUUUGAAAAAGAUAUUUAAGAUGGCCCCAGAUAUGUAAAAAGUCCUUCCUUUGCCCCAGAUCUUCAACGGCCUUCCUCCCUCCUCUCCUAGCGCCGUCCCCGCGGGCGGCCAGGGGAAGCCCAGAUCUGCCGUCCCUCGCCCCUCCUCCCUCCUCCGCCCCUCCUCGCCGCCGCCGGUGAAGGUCGCCGGGCAAAGCCCGCUCGGCCUAGGCAGUGGCGGGGCCUGCUUCUCAUCUGCCAAGGAUGGCGACGCAGGACGCUUUCUUCUGGGGGCGGGGCGGCGAGGGCGUGGGGUGCGGCUGCGCGACGGCACGGGAUGGCGGCGGUGGCUGCUGGGUGUAGGUGGCGUCGUCCUCUCCUGGGCCGGUGGCGGGGUCUGGUGCAGGGCUCUCCAGUGGCGCGGAUGCAUCUUGCGGACGGCCCUGUUGCUCGCGCGGCGAGGCUGCUGGUCAGGCGGCAGCGGCCUGGAUCCUACUUCCAGUCCCCGGUAGAGGUGGCGGCGAUCCGUACACAAGUCUUGAUGGAGGUUCUUCGAACAGAUCUGGAUGAAAACCUUGCGCUCGGCUAGAUGCCAAGGCCGACGAUGGCGGCGCUCUUUUGUGUCAUUCUCUUCUUAAAGACAUCAUUGUGGAGAAGUUCUAGACCUCUAUCUGUUACCUCCGGGGGAAACCCUAGACCGGUAGAUCGGAUGACGGCGGUGCUCUUGUGUCAUUUCCCCCUUGGGGGCGUCCAUCUUGGAGGUGUGCAUGGACUUGAGGGACCAGCGGACAACAUCUUUGGUGGAGCUAUGUUUCAUCUUAUGCAUCGACGACUGUGGAUCUCGGCAGGGUGGCGCAGCGGAGUCUCGACAUUCGAUGUGCGUAGACGGACUCGCACAGGAGGAUGGUGUUGUCUGGCGUCGUGGUGGCGUCGGUGGCAGACCUGGCAAGGUCGUGGCGUCAGUACCUGCUCUGAAGAUGGAUCGGUGAAAGACGGCGACGGCGGACUCUGAGAGUGCGCCGGACGGCCGAUGUGUGCCAUAGACCAGGUAUAUGGCUUGGCUGGGGCCUCCGGUUUUAGAUGUUAGGCUUACGUGUGAGGUCUGUUUUAGGCUCGAACUAUCGGCACCCCUUCAUCAAAUGGAUAGAAGUAGCGACAGAUGUGGCCAAGAUGGUGGCUUCAAACUUACUUAUGUACUACUUUGUAAGGUCUUUGUAAAUAAUUAAUAAAGUGGUUGCAUGCAUCACCCAGAUGCAGAGGCCGGGGGUCUUCCUCUUUUUGUAAAAAAAAGACGACCCCGCGCAGUUUGGACUGUUCUGAAAUGGAUUGUAGUUUUCAAUCAGACUAGCAGCUUUGUGUACUUGAUAGUGUGUGAUCUUUUUCUUUUUCACAAAAGAUUGUAUGAUGCUGGCAGCUUGGCCUUGGUGGCAUUGUUAUUUUUUUCUUUUGAAGGAGCCUUGCUGGCAUUGUUAAUGUGGCUGUGCAAGAUAUUUUAACUUCGAAAUAAAAAAGACUAAACGAGAUAUUUAAGAUGGCCCCGCGCAGUUUGGACUCUUUAACCUUUAUUACCCAAAGGCAAAGCUAAAAAUGUCCCGAGACGGGUCCCAUACUUACCCCAGUGGGGAUUACGUGCACCGUGGACGCCAUAAAACGUGAAAAUUCGGGGGCAGUGGGGGCUUGGAAGGAUGCAACCAAUCCAUGUUUACGAUAUAGGAACCGACACGGGUUCAAAACCUCGUACCUCAGCCGGUGAAGUUGGUAUAAAGCACAAUUGUUUUGCUAUACUUUUGUUGCCCAACUUGCCCGGCCACUUGGGUGUUGAGGAAGAACUUUUAUUUAGAAGACAUCGAACUUCCAUCUUGCGUAAUUCUGCUUUAGUCUUGAACAGGCGCACCUGCCUUUCAGAUGUAUUUACUGCGGUCUCUGCGGAUCAACCCUCGAAUAAACCGGACUUUUUUUUUGUCCAAAUCACAGACGAUGCUGAAAGUGUGCAGAACUGAACAUGGCAUCAUAGUGAAAUUCCGGCCGGAUUUGACUGGGGCCGUAGCGACAGUCGAGAGAGCAAAGAUAACAAGAGACGGAGAACGAUCGGCAGGUUUUGCCCUGUCUGACAAGGACACGUUGGCAUCGGCAACUAACAAAAGCGCAAAAAGGAACGGGUCCUCAUUCCAUGAAUGAAAUCCACUAACUCCACGAUCGGACCUGCGAGCGUGUUCAAGUCCUGUUCGCCGCAGAAUAUUCUGCACGAACGGGAGCGCGCCGCACUUCCAACGGAUAUAAUCUUGGCCAGUUAACUUUGGCUUCGGAUAGAUAUAUCGCAACCGUAAUGGGCACACGGAUGCUCAACCUGCUGCAUGUAAUCAGUUUGGAUUAGAGGUAAUCCACCGGAUCUCGACCGGACGACUGCGGCCAGUGGAUGUCUUAUUCUCAGCUGUGAUGUGCUGAGAAACCUCACAUCGAGCUCGUCAAUGGAUGAUAGAUGCAUCGGUCUUCCCCACCCAAUCAAUCAAUCAGCGGUGUCUAAGCUUAUCCCCUCAAAAGCUCCCCGUCUCUUCAGGACCGUCGAAGAAAAGACCGCCAUGCAUUGCAUUGACGACGACGUUGUUUGUUUUCCUUGCUGGCCGUUGGCUGGACUGUUCUUCAGAGCGCGCGCUGAGGUCCCCAGCGUGCGCGAGAGAACGGUGCAGAUUGCAGAAGAUCGCCGCUAGCACGCUGCACCGCAAGUUUUUGCCAUGCCCCUUUCGUGCUUCUCCAGAGAUUCUUCCUUCCGCCAAGAACAAAUCGGCAGAGCUCACUGCUCCCCUCCCCUCCCCUGUGGUCGGUCUCGGAGUAGGCUAGGAUUCGUCAUGGACGAGGUGGCUGGCCCGUGUGGGCGGUGGGGCAAAUGAGACAAAACAUCGCAGCAUUGGCCCUGGCCGAGCACGGCGAAAGAAAAUCGGACUCCUCUGUUGAGCGGCUAGCGCGCCUAUUGGGCCAGCCGACUAUCACGGUUAGCUCAUAAUCUCUCGAUCUGGGAUGGAGCGGGUUACUAGCCUAGUAGACUGGUUUUUGAGUCGGCGUUCUCCAAAAAAAGACGGCUACCGCAGCAAAAAAGAAAUCAAUAAAUUUAAUUAUUGUUCAUGAUUUACAAAAUAUGUUCUUAAAUUCAAACAAUAUUUACGAACUCAAAAAAUGUUCAAAAUUUUGAAAAUAAAAUAAUUAACUCAUGAAAUGUUCAUGGUUUUUAUAAUUUGAAAAUUCAAGAAUGUUUGCCAAUUUGCAUAAAUGUUCUUGGAUAUGAAAAAUUCACAAGUUUAAAAAAUAUUCCAAGCCUAUAAAUUUACUCAUGAUUUUUUUAAACAAUUAAAAAAUCUGGAAGAAAAAACAACACCAAAGAAACAUCUAUACCAAUAUAAAAAAGACCUGAUGGGUCAAACUAAUUUAGGCCAUCAAACCAUAUCAAUCCAAUGAUUUAGAUUACUCCAAUGACGAGCACUCAACAUGUUUAACUAGCAAUUAAUGUCAUACUAAAUAUGAACGGUAGCACUAAUCAUGUAAUUAAUGUGCGAUUAAUAUCCAACAUAAAAUGAGCGUAUAAUUAACAGACUAUCUAAUAACAGUGUUCAUUGCACAUACACAUUUACUACUAGAAAAAAGAAAAACCACUUGAGGGAAACCUACGUAAAACCGGUGGGAGAAAGACACGGGAGAAAGCUCCAAUAUAUGCCAACUCUUCGCAAGCGCUCUUAGAGGCGCCAACACCGGUGUAUCCAUGCGUUAGGAAAUCCUAUUUGAGGAAAACCCUAUUUGACGUAUUCUAGAUCAAACUAUCGGGGUGCCGCACACGUGAUCGACCGCCUCGCUAGCUGCUAUCUUUAGCAGCAAACCGUCGUCUAGUCGGGUGGGCGUCGGCCGACCAGAUCCCCUUGAAAAACAGUACAUGUGGGGCCCAUUUAGCAGUGAUGCAUGUGUUCCACCCAUCAUGGUUUUUGAAACCUUCUAGAAGGUCACUGCUCGGUUUAAGAUUCCUCAACUGAUUUUUUUCUAUUUCUUUUCAGUUUUCAUUUUUAUUUACUUUUCCAUGUUUCUUUUGUUUUCACCUAUCUCAUUUCCCUUUUUCCUUUUUUGUUUCUUUUUCUUUCAUUUAUUUUUCCAUUUUUAUUGUUUCAACUUUAUUUUCCGUUUUUUCAUAGAAAAUGUUUGCAAAUUAUAAUAAGUAUUUUGUGCUUUUCUAAUUUGUCCAGAACUGAUUUUUUUUCUUUUCUUUUCAUAUUUUGUUCCAGAAUUCAAAAAAAUCCCUUUUGCAAAAUAUGAUUGGAAUUUUUUAAAAAAUUGCUCUUUUCAAAAUAAAUUCAGAAGUUCAAAAUUGUUGGUGUUUUUAAUUUUAAUUCAUAUAUUAAGAAAAAUGUUUGUCCUUCCUAAUUUUAUUCGUAGUUUCAAAACGUGUUCAUAAUUUCAAAAAAAUUGUUCCUGUUUUCAAAACAAUUCCACAAAUUCAGUUUUUUCACAAAUCAGAAAAAAUAUUCGCAUUUUAGUAUUUUUAUUCAGAUUUUCUAAACUUGUUCACAAAUACAAAAAUUUUCCUUUUUCAAAAUUUGUUCACAAGUAAAAAAAAUUCCCCUGUUUAAAAGUUUUUCACAAAUUUUAAUUUUGUAUACUUUUUGAAGUUUGUGUUUAUCAAAAAUGGUUUAGAAUUUAAAUUUUGUUCCUGUUCUUUCAAAAUUUGUUCACAAAUCGUCCCCAUUUUCUAAAUUUGGUUAGAAAUUCAAGAAUUGGUCAUAAUUUUGAAACUUGUCGCAUUUGUCAAAAUUAUUUGGCAUAAUUUUAAAGAAAGUUUUGAGAAAAAUGAAGAAUAUUUGCUUCUGCUGAUAUAGGUAGUUCUAAAGUAUUCGUGCUGCAUAGUCAUCAUGGGCAGUAACUAGCUCUAGUGGCUAUGUACUUGCACCUACAAGUAGGGGAUUGCAAGUUUUUGCGGUGCUUUUACAUCGUUGGCUGCUCCUGCAUGGGCCGGCGGAGGACCGCCCUGUGCGAAUCUCCGCCUUUCUGCCGCAGAAUGCGGCAGAUAGGAGAUCCCCUAUUUGCUGACCUUAGGCGCCAAAUAAAUGGCCUGACGCGUGGGGCGACGAACGUUAUGUCCGGCCCAUGUUGCACAGUCAAUUUUCCUUUUGUACAUUGUUUAAUUUGCUCGUUGCAAUUGCAGUUUUUUACUUUUCUGUUCCUUCUUGUUUUUGCUAAUUUGGUUUUCUGUUCUGGUUCUUUUUCUUUGGAUAGACAGUUUGGUCUAAUUAGAUUGUGUCAUCCUGUUUACCAUUUGCUUGUGUGCAUUUCACAAUUAAUCUUUUUACUAGUAAGAAUGCCCGCGCGUUGCAACAGACUGCAUUGGCGAGAUCUUAUUUUACCAUUAAAGCGCUUUUUUUCUUCCUUUCUUACUUCUCCCAACUAAAAAUAUUUCUCGGGUUGAUAUGUGAAUGGAUUAAUUAACAGCUACACCAAAGUAUCAAGAGCUAAAAACGUAUUUAUUGACGAACAUUUCUAAACUAAAUAUGUCAAACAAAAAAUCAAAGAUGCACCAAAUAACAAUAGGGCCUUUUCACCUCAUCAAGAAAGAUCCAGAGCUUUUUCUCCAUAAAUCAUUGGUGUUUGCACCGUAAUUUCCUGUGAUUAUUCACCGCUGCCAUUCUUCGGUGUUUGCACUGCAAUUUCCACUGAUUUGUUUAGUGAAUAUUCUCUGAUGUCUCUGAAUUGUUGUCUUUGUGCCUACUUCAUUGUUGUCAUUCCUACAGUGUGCUUUUUCAGUUUGUUUUCACUGUAGUAUCCCCCAGUUCACAGUGUAAUUUGCUGCAUGGUCACUAUAAAACUUGCAGGUAUUACAAUGGAAUACCUAAGGUUUUUUUUAGGGAGUUACACUAUGCAAAUACCUCAUUUUUACAUUAUAUAUAUUGUAGGUAUUUAUAGUGGAAUUCCUCAUAUUUUAUCACUCUAUAUCCUCAGUUGCCUCAAUGUAAUAUCCCACAUUUAUCACAUAGUCCAUGCUUUAUCUCUAUUUUCCUAGUUUUCUCACAAUGUAAAUUGCAGCUAUAUUAUACUGUAAUGGUUGGACGCGGUGUUUCGGUGCCCAGGCUCAUCUACACCCGGUUAGAAAAAAUUCAUAAAAAAUUCAAAACAAUUCCAAUAUUUUUUUGUGCGGUAGAAAUGUUGAUCCAUCAGGCCCGCUCCAAAUUUCAAAUCAUUUGGACAUCUGAGCAGCUCUCAACAAAAAAGACAAAUCGGGCCAAAACAGUACAUGAAUAGUAAACUUUUUUACAGACCCCCAAUUUUUCUUUUUGCCGAGAGCUGCUCAGAUGUCCAAAUGAUUUGAAAAUUGGAGCAUACCUCACGCAUCAAAUUGUCUACUGCACAUUUUUUUUGGAUUUUUUGAAUUUUUCUAAUAUUUGUUUUACUUUUUUUCGUUAGCGCGGGUGCAGAUGAGCUCGGGUGCAGAGAUCGAUUUUUGAUAUUUUCAUGUGUACUUACCAUACGCCCUUAUUUUCAUGUGCAUUUACAAUGCCUUUUAACUCCGUAUUUCCUGUUGGUUCACUCACUAUUUUUACCCUGAUCUAAAUAAAUUUUAGUGUUGCUUUCAGUCUGUCAGAAACCUGUUGAUUCCAUUUUCUUUCAUUAGAUUCUUUGAUGUUUUCUGCAGACAAGUUGAUAUAAAAGGUGCUUGUAGAUCAGAAGGGUGAGCAAAAGGAGUUGGAGAGGUCCUGACAUGUGGAUCAUCUCUUGGAUGAUCUUCCUCUGCCCUCCCCCAAAUAUUGGCAUCUAUUCUCCCCUGUUGAUUCUCUCGAGGUACUUUCCCCACUCCCAUGUCUAUCUGACUUGUUUAUGUUCUUUCUUCUUCUCGCUCACCUCUCCCAGAUGAUGGGGCUGCGUUGUGGUGUGUUACGUGAGAUAUGUGGAGGGGUUAGGGUAGUUGAGGUUGGGUCCUUGCGUGGGAUGCAAAUUGAAGGGUGAAAGUGCCUUAAUGAGCUCGGUGAACAGUAAAAUAAAAAAAAAUUCAAAAUAUUUCAAAUCUUUUUUGGAGAAACAUUGACAAAAGUUCUAAGUGCUUGCAAAAAAUCGUCAUGAAAUGACAUUCCUGUAAGGCGUGGCAAAAAAACAGAUUCUAUGCUCCAAAAUGCUUUUGAAAGUAGCAUUUUCAGAGUAUCGAUUUUGUUUUUUUUCCAUGCCUUUUAGGAAUGUGAUUUCAAGACGAAUUUUUGCAAGUACUUAAAAUUUUUGUCAAUGUUUCUCCAAAAAAUUUGAAUUGUUUCUAUUUUGUUUUGAUUUUACUGUUCACCCGAGCUCAUUUGAGCUCGGGUGCAGAAACUCUGCGUCCAUUGAAGGGCAGCUGUUUCCUGUUUUUGCUCUUUUUUUUUGAGGGGUGGGGUGCUCUCUUUUUGUUAGGGGCAGGUGUUUUGUGGUCCAGGACGGCCUGGUUAGUUGCGUAGUUGAGCUGGAAUCGGGCUCUGUUUUGGUUCAGUGAGAACCGGGUCAGAAUUUUUAGCCCGAUCCGUUUUGUUGGACAUUUCGAGGGCCCAUUCGGGCCACUACCCAGCCCACUCAUCCUUCGCAGAAACCCUAACCACCCGCACGCCCUCUAAUAUGCACGACCCCUUCUCGCCCAGCUCUCUUCCACCCUUCACCGCCGCCAGCGCCACAGCCUCCAAACCCUCGAUCUCCCGCAUCGGAGCUCCCUGCCCCCAACCCCCCACCCCCACCCAACCAUGGCGGACCGCGGCGGCGAGCGUGGUGGCGACCGCGGAGGCGAGCGCGGCGGGUUCGGCCGCGGCUUCGGGCGCGGCGGGCGCGGGGACCGUGGCGGGCGCCGCGGCGGCCGUCGUGGCCCUCGCCAGGAGGAGGAGAAGUGGGUGCCCGUCACCAAACUCGGCCGCCUCGUCAAGGAGGGCCGCUUCACCAAGAUGGAGGAGCUCUACCUCCACUCGCUACCCAUCAAGGAGCACCAGAUCGUGGAGCAGCUCUGCCCGGGGCUCAAGGACGAGGUGAUGAAGAUCACCCCCGUGCAGAAGCAGACCCGCGCCGGCCAGCGGACCCGCUUCAAGGCGUUCGUCGUCGUCGGCGACAGCAACGGCCACGUCGGGCUCGGCGUCAAGUGCGCCAAGGAGGUGGCCACGGCCAUCCGCGGCGCCAUCAUCCUCGCAAAGCUCUCCAUCGUGCCCGUUAGGAGGGGCUACUGGGGGAACAAGAUCGGCCUGCCCCACACCGUGCCCUGCAAGGUCACCGGCAAGUGCGGCUCUGUCACCGUGCGCAUGGUGCCCGCCCCGAGGGGUUCUGGAAUCGUCGCCGCGCGCGUCCCCAAGAAGGUGCUCCAGUUCGCUGGUAUUGAUGACGUCUUCACUUCCUCGCGUGGAUCCACCAAGACCCUCGGCAACUUCGUCAAGGUAUAAACAUCCCCUGCCUUUUUCCGUAUUCUGCGAUGCUCCCAUCAUUGGUGCUUUAUUUUCAGUACAUAAUUGCUUGUAUCAUGUGUGCAUAAUGUAGAAUGUUCAGUUUAAGUAUGCUGAAGCUGCAGAUAAAAAGAUGAAGACGUCUGCAUAAAUAUGCUAUCCAUAGUAAUGCUAUGAUAACAACAACAUACCUUCAUCUUUGGACAGAAUAUAAAUUUCUAAAAAUGUACCCGCCAAAGUACUUCAUUCUCUGCCAUUGUUGAGUUGAGCUCUUCAUCUACCUCAAAGGCUCCAUGUUUCCGCUGAUGAAAUAACGACACGCAGAAUUACAUGAUGAUAAAUGCAGUUAAUUGCAUAUUGUUGCUGCAUUUGCCAGUUCCUACAAAUACUUUCAGAAAAUGCCUUUGCCAUUAAGAAACAAUAUACUUCCUCCUUCCAUCUAUAUAGGGCCUAAUGUGUUUUUCGAGGUUAACUUUGAUCAAAUGUUAAAGCAAUAUUAUAUGACAUGCAACUUACACAAAGCAUACCGUCAAAUUUAUAUAUAAAUGGAGCUUGUAAUGAUAUAAUUUUCACAUUAUACAUCUCAUGUACUAUUAAUCUUGUCAAUGGUCAAAGGCGGUCUUGAAAAACGCAUUAGGCCCUAUAUAGAUGGAAAGAGGGAGUACAUAUGUCACUUCUCAUUUUCUCGUUUAACAGCAUGAUGGCCGAAACAACAAAUACCAAUUUUUCCAAUAACAUGAAGUCAUUGCAUAACAUGGUGAUGAGGAUAAUUCUGUUUUGGAAGUGAUUGCUAUGUGCAGCUUGUGAACUUUUAUACUUGUUAGAUACAAGCUUGUGUACUGUUAGAAGGGGCUUUGCUGAUUUACACUUGAUGCAGUUUGGUCUAUGUCAAUUGAUUAGUCUAGAAGCAAUUCUUCUGGAAAUUGUAGUGCAACUGUAGCCUAAGGUUGUCUAUGUUUUGUGUGUCUUAUCUGCUUUAUGCUCUGCUUGUUCUUCAAUUGAUUGAUUGAAAAUGUAUUGCAACUUUUUUGAACAGUUCAGCUCAUUUGUAUAGAUGCUUUUCAUGUUUCCUAGUUCAUGUAAUGCAUUUUUGAGUUGCUGAAUCCUGGCACGUGUUCUAAUACAUUUUGUGUUCAUGUAUUACAACCAUUUAGACAUUUCUGGUUGAGGAUCUACCCUAACAGGGUGAUACUGGUGUAUUACAACCAUUUUGGACAUUUCUGGUUGAACAUCUAAUCUCUUCUCUGUUUAUACUAUGGGUGCCAUGAUUUGUUCUAUUUCACACCAGUCAGUUCUUUUCAUCUGUAUAGAUGAUGAUCUUAACUCGUGUCAGUCAGGUUGAAUGUAUUCCUGCUUGCGUUGACUAGUUGCCAACAUGUGCUGAUAAUUCUUUUGUUUCCAGGCAACCUUCGACUGCCUGAUGAAGACCUAUGGAUUCCUCACCCCUGACUUCUGGAGGGAGACGACCUUCACCAAGGCACCGUACCAGGAGUUCACUGACAUUUUGGCGAAGCCGACGAAGGCCCUGAUGCUUGAUGCACCAGCCGAGAAGAUAGAAGCUUAGGAUGUCCGUGUAAAGGGUUUUUACUAGCUGGGAGCUGUCUAAUGCACUUUGCUUUAUUCAGUUAUUAAUACUUUGAAUCGUGCUGUUUCAGGAUGUCUCUGUUUGCCGUCAAGUGUUGGUUUGUGGAACUAUGCUACUCUCUUUUAUCGUCAAUGGACGCUACAUAAUUAUGGCAAUCGAUCUUUUUUAUCUAUAGAUGCUUGGCUUCUACCUAUGCUGCUUUGUGUUGUUGAUGUUGUCCUCUGCCUCGUGGUUUGUUUUGUUUCUUAAUUUACUCCACGUUCUGGACCUGAUAACGAAUGGCGUAGUCUGGCUGCUGUGAUUUCACCAGUUUUGAAGAUAUCUUUCAUCCUCUUCGACUUGUCUUGUUUAGUUCCCAGCCGACCGCCCAAAGUUAGCCCCCUAGCCGCUGAUUUCGGCCCAAAUUCUGCGGGAAAAAGGCAUUUCUUGCCUGACAGUGAUGGUCCAUGCGCUACUUUUCCUUCCGACGGAGCCCCCUAGUGCGCUGGGUUUAGCCUAUGAUCGCUGGGCCAAAAAAUGGGCCGAACCAGCGGAAUUCAGCGUCUUGGGGUGACUUUUUUUUUUCCGGUGCCGGUAGAGAUGCUCUUAACCUGAGCAUAAAAAGGUACUUCCUCCGUCUAGGUGAAUUAAAUAUAUGUUUUAUGUCAUGAAAAGUAUAUCACUAGAUUUCUACACGGAUGUAGUUUCUAAAUAUAUAUUUUUAUCACAUAACACAUAUUUAGAUUGUUAAAUCGUCGACUUAGAACUACGCGAAUGACUUAUUCACCGAGACGGAGGGCGUAUAAUUGAAAUUUACAAGAUCCAAAGAAUAUCAAAGCAGGAAGGUAAAGUAUACCAACUCAAUUCAUAGUGAAGUCACCGAUUCCUUUGUUAGAUGCCAAUGGAUCUCUCCAACUUCUGCACACAUUUCAAGAAAAUGUUGUCUGUCUAAAUACUGAAUUCUUACACAUGUCACUCUGCACUAGCACAAUCGUGUACAUACCAUUAGCAGAGUAACUGAAAUAUGCUUUGCCAUUAGAAAUUUAUUCUCAUCUCUUGUAGCACAUCGGGAUAAAAAUAUAAUACCACCACACUUGAAUUAUGCCAUGAGAAGAGUGAAAUAUAGAACUAUCAGCUAUCACAAAAAUAGCCAGCAGUUGACGUCUAAAUAAUACUCGCUCCGUCCCAAAAUUCUUGUCUUAAAUUUGUCUAGAUACAUUGUAUCUAGACAAAUUUAGUACUAGAUGAUACGAAAUGAAGUUCUACCUGGUGCUUUCUUGGAUUUGGCCCCUUUCUUCUGCAGCUUUUGUAAAGCUAUCAUGCAACUCUACCGAGGAUCUAUAAAGACUGGUGUGCUUUUAUCUUUCUCCAGCUCAUCAUUCAGUUUUUUGUUCUGCAAUUCCAACUUGUAAUCCCGUUAGAAGCCUCCACUGGAUUCGAUUCAAGCAAAUUAACUUGUCUUGAAAUGAUACAUUCUGCUCUGCUAGCUCAAUUACUCUAGCCCAUAGUCUCUGUUCUUCGGCUAGCCUGGCUGACCAAUCAUUUGAGCUUCGUCCCAUAAUACAAGAGCGUUUUUUUACACUAGAUACAGUUUGCACAGCAGUCUUCUCAUUCUCCUGCCUUCCUAGAGUCUAAUUCUACCUUGGAUCACUUAUAUUGUUCUUUGGCUGCAAACCUUUCGGUAAGACGUGCCUUAAUCUGUGAAGAUAGUUCGAGCUCCAAUUGUUUUCUGUCUUCAAUCAAGCUGAGAACCAGCUGCAUAAUGUCAGUUGAGUUCAAUCUCUUAUCCCUGAGCAUGUUAAGCUCGCUCAUUUCUUCAGAAGGAACCAUAAAGCAUGCAUCUAAUUCUUUAGUUCUUCUAAGCAACUUAUCAUCAGUGUCUUGUUCCAAGUUCUUGUCAUGAAAACCAAAAGACCCAUCAUGAUGAUAAGUAUCAGCAGCAGAGCAUCUUGAGGUUGCCCCGAAAAGAGGAUGGAUUCACUGAAAAUCCAUAAAAGUAUUGAGGUUGUGGAUCUCGUGAGUCCUCAGAGAUAUCCUGCACUCUAGUCACGCUAUGUGAUUUGCACUCUCCAAGUGAGAAAAAUUAUCAGAAGAUCAUUCAAAUAGACUUGUGUCAUUUCCAUCUGAAUCACACAUAGAUCCCACCUUCAAGGUGCCCAUUGCCUCUUCCUGAGCAAGUUGAUGGUGGCAGGUUAGGGGUAAAGUUCCAUCCUCCAAAUCUUGCAAAGUCUUGUCUAUGUUUGAGCAGUUCUGAUAUAUUUCUUUGCAAGAUUUUGGUGAAGAUGGAACUGUAGGAUGAGGUCGAGGGGCCUUCCACAUCCCAAAUGAGGAGCUGCAGUUGGGGAAUUUCUGCUUAUGUUUCUCAUUUGAUAUGUUUGCUUCUUGCUCCCCAUCAAUAUCUAGCACUUCAUUCUUGUCCAGUAAAUUGGUCAACCUGGCAGGUCUGCAUUUCAAUGCAACACGAGAGCUAAGAGGAGAGUGUCCUGUUGAUGAGCAUGAGUAGCAUCUUGAACGUGGUGAAUCAGUUUCAUCUACGCCGUGUGCUUUUGGAACCUUUAUCAUGCAUUCCUGUAUAUUAGGAUGUCCUUCAGUAAGGCCAACUCCAACCGUCGACUCCAAACGGACGUCCGUUUGGGUCGGCAAAGCAGUCAGGCGCGUCCGGUCGUGGUCGUGCAGCCGUCGGUGCGUCCAACCGGCUUGCCGCAUCCCAAACUGUCCGCUUUUUGGACUUAGAAAUUUGACCCCAAAACAAACUCAAGUAGACAUUACAGAUAAUUUAAAAACAUUAAUAUAAACAUUAACGUCCACAAAAGUCCAGUCCAACACAUUUCUUAACUAAACUUAAAAUUAAAAGGCAUAAAAGACUAGAUGUGGAACGCUGGAGGUGGGGGUGGAGGAGGAGCUGCCGUGGCGGCUGGAGGAUGAGCCGGCCUCGUGGUCGUGCUUCCCCUUGCGGCCGGGCAUCGAAUGCCAGCCCAUCCCCCGGCGGCUAGGUGGAGGAGAGGAGGCGGCCGGAGCUAGGGUUUGGGCGUGUCAGACUUCGAGGAGGCACACAUCGCCGUGAGUGAAAGUGUGGACUGACCAGUCCAUGGCUUCCACAUUAAAAAUGACGCCGUCCCCACGGCUGGGGGCUGAUAGGCGGGGCCGCCCGCGUGUGCGCCGUAAAUGCGGGCGGUGGGAGGUCAGUGGAUGGCCGCCAUGCGGGCCCGAGGCGGACGCUUAGCGGGCGCAUGGGCGUCCGUUCGCCGUCCAUCUGAAUGCAAACCGGGCACAAUUUUGCGUUGGAAAUGGGGCGGGCCAGACGUCAAACAUACAAAAAAAUGGGGAUGAGUUAGCGUGUCGGGCCUUGGCAUCUGUCCGUUUGGGCCAAAACGGACAUACCCAGACCAGAUGGGAUCGUGCGUUUGAGCUGGCCUAACCUUUAUCACUAACAUUUUCUGCAAAACAUGCUCCAAAAAAUAAUAUUCAGGUAUAAUGCGCACAAUUAUGUCAUGACUAUAAGUAUCAGAGAUCGUCUGCAACAAUGUUAUAAUAUGUCCAGCGGGAAUUUAAUUCAAAGAAUGAGCCGGUGGCUGCAGAUUAUGGCAACGCGAAGUGUGAUAUUUCUGUAGAGAAAAUCUCAAGACGUUUCUUGAAAAAAUAAUAAUCUCAAGAGGGGCAUGUUAAGUGACUCACAUGAGCAAUGGUUUGGUGUGUUAAAGAUGACACACAACCCCUAAACCUAGGCUUCGCUGAAGAUCUUUAUUGGGUGUCUGACGCCUGCAAAUUGCUAGAUUGGAUGGGAUUCGGUCAUGUCUGCCCCUAUUUCAGCCCGUGUGGCUUCAGAAGGACGUGACACGAAGCUUCGUUGACUGUUGACAUUAUGGAACAUGCAUGAUGAAGACAGUGUCGAAGAACGUCAUGGUGGCAGAGGUCUGAAAUCUAGUAAUGGCGGAUUGAGCCUUCGAGGAGAUGAUGACUUUGCUUGGUGGUUCGUGACUCGUAGCAGGGGCAUCGACAAGUGGGGGCGGUGGCAUAGAAGGAGUACAUAGUCUUAGCUUUCAGAGUGAAAACCCAAGGCCCGGCCUUAAUUGGUUGUGCCUGGCAGUGGCCUUGUUGAAGACAUUGUUUUGAGAGCGCGCGCUUGUGCAACGUUUCCUUCUUGAAGGCGUCGCUUUUGAAGAAUUUGAACUUUGGAUGUUUUUUUUUGCGUGUAAACUUUGGAUGUUUUGGUGGUAAUUCGUGCCACGGUUAUAAGGAAUUGAUCACUCUAGCAGGAUCUUUUCUUCUUCUUCUUCUUUUUGGGCUGUGUGCAUCCGUAAUGUUUUAGAACAUUACGAUAUGUUGCAGAGGUCGGGUGUAAUUGAUAUCUCACUGAUAUUAAUACAUUUCCUUUUUAAAAAAACCUAGCAUCUAUAUACUAUCAGAUUUCAAUUUGCUUUUGAUUACAUUGAAUUCAAAGUACAACAUUAUACCACUUAUAAUUAUAUUGCUGACAUUUGAUCGAUGGUGUUUCUAAUUUGUCCCACACUCGUCCAAUUUGUUUUCACUCCUUUUAUCAUGUCCUGGACUCUAGCCAGCCGGCCAAUGUUCACUAGUGUUCACUUCAGGAGUUCAGGUAUAUAUAAAAUCAAGACGAAAAGCUCCAAGGGCACAGAUAUUUAACGAUGGAUAGUUUAUAGAUAAAGCACGCACAUUACAUAGAGACGCACAUAGUACGGCGCACACAAUAUCAGUUCACCACUCUGCUCUGCUCGUGGAACCUACCGGCACCCCGGCCACAACACCAUGGACUGCGUGCACACACAGAUCCAUCGACCCUAAAACCACACACCACACGACUAGGUAGAACGACACGGAUCUGGCCGCCAAGGCCUAGCUAAGCUUCAGUACUAGUAGUAGCAGCAAUUUAUUCUCCGGACAUGGGACUCCUCACACGGCAGACGUACGUCGACAGGUUCGUUCAGUGGAUCCUGCACGCAAACGAAGAAGAGAGCUCAUGCAUGUCAAACACUUACCAUAACUAAGGAGCAAAAGAAAGAGGG